rnacentral:lncRNA from 1 species
CCAUAUCAUCUGAAAAAGAUAGAUUUGGUAUGUAUGCUUUAUACUUGAGAAUCUCCUAAACCGUGACAAUUAAUUAGGUUUAGUUCCAAAAAUUUAUAUUACCUAUGCUCCAUUUGGUCCUUCAAGCUGUAGAAAGAAAGCAAACAUUUAGACCCAUCUGGAAUGAAAUGCCCAAUUUCAUUUAAAAACACAGCCUCCAAUUCACAAACAAAAACCAGGGCUAUUUCAUAUUUAGGUAUAAUAUAUUAUACAUCAAAAGCAAGCCAAGACAUGAUCAAAACUCAAGUACUAAGCCCAGGCUUGGACUGCCGACUGAGCAACCAAACUGGUGGCUCAGUUCUUGGCAGCGAAUUGGUUAACCAAGGCUAACGCAUUGCUAGUGACUUGCGCAACAGUAACCAACCAACCCCUAAUCGAUGCCUUAACCCUGCCGUCCAGGGCCCGACCAGCGAAUCCAUCAACACACGUAUUAUCAUCGGUUAGGGCAGCGCUGACCCAAGUGUCAACAUUGCUCAUGUGCCACAAAAAGUCCUGCCCCUUGCUCUUCCCAGCUUCCUCAAGCUCCUGUACGGACCGGGAAAGACGGUCGAUGCUGUCGUUCAUUUCUUCUAAACAGUCCUGAACCGCCUCCAACUCCCUAGCCUUCAUGCCCUUAAUCUUACCCAAUUUGGACACAAACGCCUUGGCGGACUGAGCCUUGGCUAGGCUCACCGUCAAAGCGGUGUGAGCCAACUGCUUCGGGCUUUUCUGAAUUGUGCUUGCAUACACUGACAGCGAUUGGACGCACAAUGCUGGGUACCGGGUGGCACUGCACUUGGCCUUGAUGAAACUAGUGCUGCCGGAAUUGGCAGCCGCAGACUCAGCAACCCUGGAGGUGUACAAAAGUACUGAAACCACCACCAAGACUACUAGUACUGAGGCUCUUGCCAUGACUCUGGGCAGUAAGAAAUUUGCUGAUUAUAUGAUUGUAUUGGAGGAUAGGUGGAAGAGGAUGGGCAGUUUUAAGUAUUUAUAGAGGGUUUAAGCAUUUAGUUGACGGUAAUAUGUAGGUCCUGUGUUGAUGUGUAAUGGGCCCCAUAAUACAGAAGAAAAAAUUUCCGGCAAUCAAGCACUGAAUUAAGGGUUGUCAUAUUUGACAAAGGUUUGUGAAAAUAUGGGAAAAUGUGCAUGUGAAGUUGUGUCCACUGCAAUUAAAGUAGGUCAAGUUCUUGACGUUUUGCUGCCGACACUGGCUAAUUGCAGGCUUGAAGAGUUUAGUAUAGGGUUUAGGACGUUAGGCAAUAUCUAUACAUCUUUUCUUAAUCAAAGGUCACGAAAGAUUCGGCAAAAUCUAUUCAUCCAGACAUCCAUACAUCUAUUCUUAGGUUAAAAACAUUGAGUUUGAUUUUUGUAAAUAUUGUUUAUGAAUUUUCUAGGAUAUGUUAGUGCAUUUUGGAUGGUAUAUUUUUUAUUUUUUAAAAUAAAAAUAAUAUUAAUUUUUAUAUAAGGUACAAAAAUUCUUGAUAUUACGUUUGGUUCCAAAAAAUACUAUUAGAAAUAGGAAAAAAAUAUUAACAAAAAUAAUUUUUUCAUGUUUGAUUUUCUUAUAAAAAAAAAUGAAAAAAGGUUAAAUAUAAUUAUAAUUAUUAAAAAAAAUUAUAUAUUUUUAAAUUAUUUGAUAUUUAUAUAUAAAAGUUAAAUGAGUUUAAAAUAAUAUAUAAAAAUAAUUUAUUAAUUUUAAAUUUAUUUUUUAUUUUAUUUUAUUUUUUCUUUUCUUCUACUUUUCUUAUAUUUCCCUCACAUUUUCCUUCAAACUUGAAGCAUCCAAUAUAGCUUAAAAGUUUAUAUUAAAAAAUUAAUUUUGAAAACUAUUUAAAAAAAUUUUAAGUAUCAAAAACAUUUUUACCACCUCAAAAUUUAAAAAUAUAAGAUAAAUAAAAACUUUUAAAGCAAUAUAUUCUAUUUUUAUAAAAAGACUUUUUAUUUUAAAAAAAAUGAAAAAUAGAAAGUACAUCCGCAACAUUGGGCCCAAUUUGCGUUGUUUUUUAAAAAUUGUUUUAAAAAAAUUGAGAAUUAAAAAUAAUUUUUAAAAUUUUUUAAAAAAUAAAAAUGUAUUUGACAGUGAUUCCGAAAGUGUUUUUAAUCUUUCUAACUCUUGAAAAUUUUUAUACAUAAAUUUAUGGUAUUAAUAAGUUUAUUAUUUGAGUUUUAAAUCAUUUUUAAAAGUUAUUAUACUUAUUAAUAAAUCCAACACAUUAAAUCUAAUUUAAUUUGAAGUUUAUUUGUCUAGUGAAAACAAAUAGAGAAAUAAUAAUUUUAUAUAAAAAAUAAACAAUAGAGUUAUUUUAAAUCAAUUUUUAUUUAUAAAUUUGUGAUAUUAAUAAGUUUAUUAUUUAAGUUUUAAAUUAUUUUUAAAAAAUAAUAAACUUGUUAAUAAAUUCAAUGCAUUAAGUCUUGUUUAAUUUGAAAUUAAUUUAUCUAACGAAAAAAAUCGAAAAAUGAUGAUUAUAUAUAGAAGAGAAAUUAAAAGUUAUUCUCCAUUUUAGUUUGUUUUUAAAAAUUGAAAAUAAAGAACAAUAAUCAAAUAAUAUUAUAAAUUUUUAAAAACUAUUUUUUAUUUUUAAAAAUAGAAAAUUGUUUUUAGAACUCUCCAAAGAGGCUCUAACUUCAAGUGCUGGUUUAGUUAAAUUUUAUUGUUUUAAAAGCAAAAGGCCUGAUAUGCAUUAGUGAAGCUAUUCUUUAUUUUCAAUGUUUUGAAUACCAUCCGUGAGAUAUUGAUUAACUAAAAUCAUUAUGUUAUUAAAUCAUAUUGAGAGGUAGUGUGAAAACUUUGAAAAGGCGAGAAACAAUCAAAGAAAAGAAAAAGUAAAAAAGUAAGUGAGAACAGAUUGGGAAAAGACUGACUUUGACUCUCUUAUACUACGGUUUUAUAAGCUUUCAUAUUGCCCAAAAGUUAUAUUCACACUAACUUUAUAUUAUCAUUUACUUAAUUUCCAUCCUUUAAUUUAUUCUAUUUACACACCUUUCUUAGCCUAUUGAUAGGCUUUGGGCUGUUGUUCAACUUUAGUAGUAAAGACUUAAGAAGGAAGACACGUCUCUCACACGAUCCCACGACUCGCACGACUCACACUCGUGAUGUAUACGCCCACAUCCACUGGAAAUUAACGCAGGAGACUUCGACCAUAUGUUAAAAUUAAGAAUAAGUUUUCCAAUUUCCAUAAAACACUACAAAAGGAGGCCGCGGGUCCACUUAAUUUAAUUUAGUAGGGGAGUGUGGGGUGGGGGUAAUGGUCACAGAUGAGGGCUUGGUAGGCCUGCUGCAUUUAAGGCUUCGAAAGCCAACUCUAUACGGACAAUUUGAAGAAAAAAAAACCAUUAUUUUCAAAGAAUAUUUCAUAAAAUUCGAGGGUUUAAAAAAUUUUAUGAAUGAUAUGCUCAUGUCAUUGUUUUAAUUUGAUCGGCAGACAGGCAAAAUUAAUUAAAUGAUGGAAGGUCACAAAUGAGGGCUUUGUAGGCCAUUUGUAUUUUCGAAGGUUUGGAAAGCUGCCCUCCCAAAGUUGUGAUAUAUUCCAUUUAUAUAUUCAGCAUGGGGCAUUGCCAUAUACACUUAUACCUGAAACAAAAUUGUACGUAUAUGACAUGCAGAUGACGUAUUUUUUUAAGUAAUUAGAUUUGCAUAGGUAUGUAUGAGUUUGAGUUUAGUCUCGUAAAGCUGGCCAAAUUUGGAUUGGAAUGAGGAGGCUAGUCACUAUUAGUCUCCCACCAGUGCAUGAAGAGUCCAAAUAAUAAAUGAUAAAGCCUUUAAUAACACUUGUCAAAUUAAAGGUUUGGUGUAAAUAUAUAUAAUUAUCAUUAAUUUCAAAUUUUUUCAAUUAGUGUAAUUAUAAAUUUAUUUUGUUUAUUAAAUAUAGAUUUUUAGAAAUAUUUUGGAUUAAAAAAAUUAGGUAAGAAUGGUUUGUGGGACCCUGCAUCCAUCCAACAUAAAUCCAUUUUUUAUCCAGAUAUUAAACCGACAAAGGGCUAUAUAGGCAACGUUCAUAUUCAUUGCACAAGUAAUAAAUAUAUCAAACCGUUAUGUCAAGUGCAUUUAUGGGCAUAAACGUCUCACUUAAACUCAAAAAUCGUUAUUCAUAGGGUCAAUUACUAGCAUCUCAAGUAUUAAAGAGACUUGAAACGUUACAACUCUGUAAAAUGUUACUAAACAUUGAGAUUCAAGUAUGAAAUAAGCUCCCUAAAAAGUUAUUGCCCAUUUCUUCCCAAUAUUAACUUAAGCUUCGGAGGCUCAUCGUUUGCUCAGAGGAAGCUAGCUAGAAAAAACCUUGUUGGUUGUGCACCAACAAUUGGUGUCAUCUAUGGGAAAUGAACAAAAAGCCUUAAGUGCAGAUGGCUAACGUACCUUCUAGAAUGCAUUCCCAUUCAACAUAGGUAGACGAUCAAUUCUGAGAGAAUUAUGGGUCAUUAUGGGACCCCACAUCCGUCCAAGUAUAAAUUCAUUUCUCAUCCAUGUAUCAAAUGGACAAAGGGCUAUCCGGGCAACGCCUAUAUUCAUUAUGCAAGUAAUAAAUAUAUCAAAUCAUUACAUCAUGUGCAUUUAUGAGCAUAAACGCUUGACUUAAGCCCAUAAAUCAUUAUUCAUUGGGUCAAUUACUAGCAUUUAAAGUAUUAAAGAGACACUUGAGACGUUACAACUCUACCAAGAUAAAAAGCUACCAAACAUCAAUAUUCAUGUAUGAAAUAAGCUCCCUAAAAAACUAUUGUCCAUCUCUUCAAGAUAUGAACUUAAGCUUCAGAGGGGCGUACUAAAAAAAAUCAUUUGGAAACACUUUGUUGUAGGUACACUUGUUGUUCACUCGGAUGAACUUAGUUGGAAAAGACAUUGUUGGUCAUGCACCAACAAUUGGUCUCGUCUAUGGAAAAAGAAAUAAAAGAUUCAAGUGUAGAUGGCUAAUUUACCUCCUGAAACACGUCCCCAUUUAGCAAAGGUGGACGACUGAUUCCAUGCAUGGCAAGUCAAAAUUGAGAGAAGGUAGGGAGAGUAUGAAUAGUGCAUGCAAUCCCUGCGGAGCAACUGAAAUAGGAAAACAAAGAGUUACAAGUGCAAAUGGGUUUGAGACAUUGUGUAAACCAAAGGAGCCAUCAUAUACCUAGCCAAACGACCUUGAAGCGUACCCGAAGUCGGCUACAAGCUUACAAGCACUUAACUAAACCACUAAAAGUGGAAAAACAAGGCAAAUCCGACUACGUGCUUACAAGCACUUAACUAAACCGUUAAAAGUAGAAGAACAACGUCAAAUUUGACCACGUGCUUAUAAGCACUUAACUAAACUGCUAAAAGCAAAAAAAACAACACCGAAUCUGACAACGUGCUUACAAGUAGUAACUAAACCUCUAAAAGUGGAAAAAAACAAAGUCAAAUCUGACUAUGUGCUUACAAGCACUUAACUAAACCGCUAAAAGUGAAAAAACAAAGUUGAAUCUAACUACGUGCUUACAAGCACUUAACUAAACCACUAAAAGCGAAAGAACAAAGUUGAUGUCGGUUACAUGCUUAGAAGUACUUAACUAAAUCGCUAAAAGUGGAAGAAUAAAACCAAAGUCAACUACAUGCUUACAAGCACCUAACUAAACCAUUAAAAGUGGAAGAAUAAAACCAAAGUUGAUUACGUGCUUACAAACACUCAACUAAACUGCUGAAGUGAAAGGACAAAUCAAAACAACACGAGCCUUGGUCCCAUUGAUUAAAAGAGAAGCCAAAACAAUGCAAAUAAGAAAAAAAAAACUCAAAAUCUUAUAAAGGUCAAAGGUUAAAACGAAUAAGCAAACAUGUAAUAUGUAUAUAAGGCUAGAAUGGAUCAGCAAAUAACAUGUAUUUGACUAUUCAAAAUGUUGCAAAAGACACAAAAGCCCAUAGACCAUCUAAAGUGUGAAAUCCGUAUGGCUUAAAUGCCAAAAAAAAAAUUGUCAUAAAUAUGAAAAACAAAAAAACAGUUACAAAAUGCUAGGACUAUCUUGUCACAAACCCAUCCAACCAUAAGUCUAUUCGGCCACACUGCUUGACUAAGCUUCAAGUCCAGUCUUAUCAAGAACACCUAGCCCGUCUAUUGAUAGGGCCUUGUCGUCUGAGAGUUGAAUAUCAAAGGAGUCAGGAAUUUGGAAGUGAACCUAAAACUCUUGUUUGGACAAUUCAUCCACAGCGAAUCCAUUUUGGAAUGUUCAAAUCAAGAAGCCCUCAUUCCGCUCAAUUGAGACCUACUACUUGUUAAAGCAACACCUCUUUUAUCCAUAUAGAAAAAUAUAACAAAGGCCAACUAGACACCUGUGCGAGGGAAGCACAAAUGGAUUAACCAAAUGUCCCCUAGACUGAGACACAGAAGACAUCAACCCAAUAUUCUAUUGUUGUUAAGUUUAACCCCUUGGAGGGCUCAAAGUUGUCUAGAAAGUAUCAACUACUCAAAGCCAACUGAAAAAUUAUUAAUUGGCCAAAAUUCAUGCUUUGGCUUUGAAAUGCCCUCACAAAUCAAGCAAAACGCCCUCACAAAUCACAACUCAAGCAAAACUAUGCAGAGACCCUAGCAUAAUGCUGAUAAAAGUAAGAAGUAUUUGAACGAAAGAGGAAGAAACCUAACCUGGAAGAACAAAACAGAGGUAUUUUGGAACCAAUGGCGAGGUUGCAGUGACAUCGAUAGCAAAUCGGUGAUAAUAUCGAUGAUGAAAAUAAUAGCAACAGAGUCCCUAAAUACAACCGCAAGAAAAAACCCAAUCCAAACAAGAGAUUGAAAUCAAAUGGCCCAAAUGGCAUUUAAAUAGGUUAAAAAAUGAGCACGAUGAUCAAGGCAUUUGAAGAGACCUAUUGCUUGUCAGCCUCCAUAAUCAUGUGUUGCCUCGAACCCUGCACAUUGAACAUGUGUCCCUUUGGCAUCAAAACACAAUUUUGAAAACUUUUCCAACAAGCAAACUGAUAGUAAAUUCUCUCCAACCACCCAUCUAGUUUUUAGACGAAUCUAGCCGAGAGAAUUAGGAGGCAUUGUGAGAUCUCGUAUCCAUCCAAAACAUAUAUCCAUUUCUCGUCUAAGUAUCAGAUGGAGAAAGGGCUAUUCGGACAACAUCUAUAUUCAUUGCGCAAGUAAUAAAUAUAUCGAACCGUUACGUUAUGUGUAUUUAUGAGUAUAAACGUCUUACUUAAACCUAGAAACCAUUAUCCACAAGACCAAUUACUAACAUUUAAAGUAUUAAAAAGAUACUUGAAAUGUUACAACUCUGUCAAAAUAAAAAGCUACCAGACAUCGAGAUUCAAAUAUGAAAUAAGCUCCCUAAAAAGCUAUUACCCAUCUCUUCCAAAUGUUAACUUAAGUUUCGAAGGUACAUGCCCAAAAAAACUAUUCGGACACACCCUAUUGUAGGUACGCUUGUCGUUCACUCGGAGGAAGUAAGUCGGAAAAGACAUCAUUGACCAUGCACCAACAUGGUUAAUAAUUCUUAAAAAAAAAAAAUUAUUUUCUAAAAAAUAAAUUUCAUAUAUGAAAUAAAUCUAUAAAAAGUACCAAUCGAUAAUAUUUAAAACUUGUGAAAUUUUAAUUUAUAAAAGUACUAACUGAUAGUAUUUAAAACUUGUGAUAUUUUAAUAUAUUUACACUAAAUCCAAGAAGGUGUAAAUGAAAUUAACCCACUAAUAAAUUGAAUGUGGAUACUCUACCCUUAUGCCUUAUACGUGGUACUCAACAAAUUUCUUGAGAAAUUUGAAAAAAUUAGAUAAAGAAUCAAAAUUUUGAUAAUCCAAAUUGUCUAAAUUCUAUAGACAAUUUAAAAGUGUCAAAUGUAAGUCUAAGAAAGAAAAGAUGCCAGCAAUUUUUGUUAUUGAAAAUGAUGUGCCCAUGUUGUAAAACAUGGAUGUCGUGCAAGGCAUAGAAUUUGACACAAACUCUACAUGACCCAGUUGUAAUUAGGCGACAACUGAAAUAAGAAAUCAAAGGAAAUCACGCCUAGCAAAUUAAAAAUUGGACGUAAACCAUUGAUGUGAUAAACUGAUAAUGACGUAUUUCAAUUCAAUUAAAGUAUGCUAAUCUUUUGCAUAAAAAUAAGAACAAAUCCCUUGAAUCAAUGAACAGCCAAAAAUUCGGCUACGUGAUAUAUUAUGAUUUUAAUUUUUAGUAAUGGGGCUGUCCAAAUCAAAUGAUCGGUGGAAAAUUUAAUUAUAAUAUAUGAAAUUAAAAAUGAAGAAGUAUAGAUAAUUUCGGGCACAAUAGUUUUCGUGCAUGCAUUUGAAUACUUUCAAUAGUUUAAGGCAACAAAAUAAUUAAACUAAGUAAUGGGGUCUCUCAAAUGAAGAAGGACACAAAUUUGUAAUGAAAUUUCUUUUAAUAUAUAUUUAGGAAAAAAACCAAGGUUUUUAUUUUGUAUUUAGUGAAUUUUAGAUCUUAGUUGUUGAAAGUAUAUUAUAAAAUCUGAAUCAUUGAAUAAAAACAAAAACCGAGACAAGAUAUAAAAGAAUAAAUUAUGUGUAUGAAAUGAAAUUAUGUUGUAAAAUAGUGAGAACAAGAUAUAAAACAAUGAAUUAAAAUAUGAUAUAUAAUAUUGACACGGAAAGUCACAUGUUACCAAACCUAAUUAUUCUAAUAUUUUAAUUGGAUUCAUAUUUAUAUAAGUGAACACAUGAUUAUAAAUUAGGGAUGGCUACGGAACAUUACCCCUAUUCUAACCUAAUCUUAUUUGAAUCAUUAAAAAAAUUAAACGGGACAUGAGUAGUAUGAUAAUUUAUCAUACUUAUCUCACCUCAUCCCAUUUAAUAUUUUUUUUUUAAAAAAAACUUUUAUUUUUUUUAAAAAAAAUUUAAAUUUUUUUAAAAAACUUUAAUUACAUUAAAAUAAAUAUUUUAUAAAUAAUUAAAAUAUUAUAAUUUUUUAUAACUUAUUUUAUUGAAAACUAUUUUAUUAUUAUAUAUAUUAAAAAUAUGAAAAUUAAAAUUAAAUUCAAUUCAAUUAAUUUAUAAAAUUAAUUUUAUAUAUAAUCGGGGCGAGUGAGAAGAGGGUAAGGCAAUAUCCGAACCUAUCGUCUACCCGUCUCGGAGUUUAAAAAAAAAAUCUCAACCCCAUCCCUAAUCCAUUUAUUUAAAUUUCAAAUCUAUCCCAUUAUGGAGUAAGGCACCACAGAUAUCCCAAAAAAAACCUAUUCGAGACUUAUAAUUUAUUGUAUAUUUAAAAUACUUUUAAUUUAUUUUUAACUUAAAUAUAAAAUGAGUAAAAAUAAAAAUAUUUACUAAAGAAAGAGCAAUGCAUUUGACAUAUCAAAUAUGACAUUUCCUACCUAGGUGCAACAAAAUUUAGAUCUAACAUGCAUCUAGGCUAAUUUGUGAAUAAAUUUGUACUAAAAUUAUGCUAUAUCAAUCUUCAAAAAUUUUCAAAUUGUUGUGACAUAAGUACUCCAAUUAAAUAAAUCUAAUAUAUUAAAAAUAAAAACACUAAAUAAUUUUGGUACUUAUUUUUAAUUAAGAAAUUAUAUUAGAUAUAAUAAACUAACUCAACUAAAUUAAAAUAAUGAUAAUAAUAAUAAUAAUAAUAAUAAUAAUAAUAAUAAUAAUAAAACCGAUACUUUUAGUAAUGAUUGAAAGGUAAUCAAAUCCUUAUUUUAAAUUACUUAUCACCCAAAUAAAUGUCUUGAUGAGUCUCAUUCUACUUUUGCUUUUUUUCAAAACUUAAAGAAUAAAGAAAUUCAAUAAAUUCAAAUUCCACACCCCUUUUUUAAGUUUCGUUUCCACUAAGACAAAACCCAUCCACCUUUUUUGAAGUCGGCUGACACUUGAAGCAAAGGAGAAUUCUCUGUGUAUUUUCUUUAGAUUAAAUAUACCUUUUUUUAUUAAAAGAAACCAAUGAUGUAACAUGGGCAACGAUUCUUCACCCAUCACCUAUCCUAUCCAAAUCAUAACUUCAACCUUCUUUUCCUCUUCUUUUUCUCGGGUUCUUUACCUCAUUUUCUUUCCUUCCAAACCCUAAUCUUAUAAAAAGUGUAAAAGAAAUUUAGAAAGCAGGUGAUUGUCUUAUGCUACAGGAGUUGGGACUGUGGUAGGACAGAGUGAUGUUUGGAAUAUUUUGUUUGCUGCCUUUGCUGUUGUUUGUAUAUAUUAAGAGCUUGAUUCCCAUUUUAAAUAUGACAGGGUUGGGCUGCCCGUCUUCUUUUCUUUAAUAUUUUUUAAUGUGACAAAAAGAUACAUAGCAUGCCCUUUGAUUUUUUGUAAUGGCUUUAUUCCCAUGCUCGAUCGAUACCACUUGGUUUUUCCAAAUGGUUGGGCUGCCUUUCAUCUCAUCCUUAUCUUGCUGAGAAUUUCAAAACUCUUUGUUGAUAAGGUUGCUAAGGGAAUGAGCAACAGUAACUCUAAAAAUUAUGGAAUACUAUAUGCGCUCAAUAAGCAUAGUAGAGAAGCAAGUUGAGUGGAUCUUCAAUGGAGGGAGAUUAAUUGAAUUUUUUUAAAUAAAAAUAAUAGAUACGUGUGUUCAAGUUUUGACCCAUUUCUUGAAAUUAUAUUUGAAAUUUGUUAUCAUCGCCUCCCCUUUGUUGGUCCCUAGACUGGGCAGUUCUUGAUGGGAAGUUUCUCCUAUUAUCCUAUAAGGUGAGCAAUAGUCGGAUUUGGUUUUUACUUCCUUCAAGAUUUAAGAUCUUCUAGCAUGACAUAUCCCGUUGCUUUUGAGAAGAGCCCCUCAAUGUUGGUUGGUGGAGACUUGGAAAGUGACAGGAAUAGGUCGAACCUUUCUUUUGGUCCUUCCUCAAAGCCCAUUACUAUCGCUUGCAUUGUGCAUCCUCUUACUUAAAAGAGAACUUGUGUUAAAUUAUUGUAUAUGUUGUGUAAUGGAAGCUUUAAUACAAAUAAUAUUAGUUUAAGAAUAUAAAGUUAAAAUAAUUUAUUGUUCGAUCAAUUAUAUUUAUAUCUACGGAUGGGAAAGAAUCUUUUCACUAAAUCAUAAAAAAUAUUACAGAGAAUAAAUUAAAUACAAUUAUUGAGUUUUUGAAAUAUUUUAUAUAUUUCCUCACUCCUUGUAUCCAUACCCUGAACCAUGAAUCCUCAUAUCUCCGUCCACCUCGUAUAAUGCAUGUCUAUCUCCAUCUCAUAACUUUUUUCUUUUCAUCACUUAGAAUAUUUAUAGAGAUGUUCUCAAUAACUUUCCUUAUUUUAUAAAAGAAUCUAAUAUAAUAAUAAUAUAUCAAUUAGGAAAAUAUUCUUUACACAAAUGAAUAUAUGUUAAUUAGAAAUUUGAGACAUUUAAACAAUCUCCACCUUUGAUCAAAUUUCAUCAAGUCAAUCUUCAUCUCUAUAUGAUGCAUUUUUUUGCAUCACAUCCUAACAAAAGAAUAAUCGACUUCACUUUCAACUAAAAUAUCAUUUUUCAUCAUCUUGUAUGCUCUAUUUUCUUCAGUUCUUCCAAAGAUUUUUAACCUGGGCUUUGGUACUAGUUUGUUGUACCAACGAAAGCUUUAAUGCAAACACUAUUAGUUUCAGAACACAAAAAUAAAACAAUUCACAUAAAGGUAUAUGAGGUUUUAAUGUGGUUCGACCAACCAUACCUAUAUCCAUGGAUAGGAGAGAAUCUUUUCACUAUAUCAUAGAGGAUAAAACCAGAUACAACUAUUGAGAUUCCAAAACAUCUCAUAUUUAUCUACUCCUUAUAUCUACAUUUUGAACCACAAAGCCUCUCACUCCACCAAGUGUGUCAUAUUCUUCCUCACAUCUCUAUCCACUUUGUAUAAUCUUUACAAAUUCAUCUCUAUUUUAUAACUUUUUCCCCUCAUAACUUAAAAUAUUUAUAGAGAUAUUUCUAAUAACUUUCCUUAUUUUAUAAGAAAAUAUAAUAUUUCAAUAAUAUAUCAACUAGGCAAUUAUUUUUUACAAAAAGGAAACUAUACUAAUUAGGAAUUCGAGACACAUUCAAACAGUAUGUUUGCUUGUAUUGAUUCCCUAAUGGUUUUCUAUACUUGGAAUAGGGCUUCUAGCCUUUUUUUUUUUUUUUUUUUUUGUGUUGCAUUGAGUGAAUGUAUUGGACAAUAAAAAUAGCUCAUAAUUCCUUGAAGUUUGAAAUUGAGUUGAGUGGCAAUUGGUGGAACCACGUAAGGGUUGGUCCCUAUAGGCUAGAUGAGAAGACUUUGUGGAGUAACAUUCAUUCCCUUACAUGAGGAUCAUCAUCUGUCAAACAUACAAUGGUGGAACCACAUAAGGGUUGGUCCCUAUAGGCUAGAUGAGAAGACUUUGUGGACUAACAUUCAUUCCUUUACAUGAGGAUCAUCAUUUGUCAAACAUGCGAUGGUGGAACAACAUAAGGGUUGGUCCCUAUAGGUUAGAUGAGAAGACUUUGUGGAGUAACAUUCAUUCCCUUACAUGAGGAUCAUCAUUUUUCAAACAUGCAAUAGGUGUUCUAAUUUGUUGCCUAUCCCAUUGAACAUGUUGAAUAUAAGGAUUCCAAAUCCUCUAGGCAUCUUCUCCCUAAGGAUAGCCUUAAUGAAUGGUGUGGUGAUGAUAUCACAUACUGCUUGUAAGGCAAGGGGCUCAAUGAAGCAUGACAAGUAUGUGGGUUUACCACCAUAGUUUGGUGGGCGCUUUUUCUUCCCCUUGUGGCUUGGGGCUACGUCAUGCUCAAUUGGAGUUGAUGGUCCCCCGCUCUAGUAAGUGGCUCCUUUGAUUUCCUAUUUCCUUAAUUAAGCUUCUUUAGGAUGGUUGUGGAUUAGAAGGGCUCAGGCACCUACUAUCUUCUUGUGAUUCCCUUCUUAGUUGACCAUUUUCAUGGACGAGUUUUUCAUUGUACCUAUUUAACUCUGUGAGUUAGCUCGUUGUUUCUUCUUUUUUUUUCUCUUUGAAAUCUAUGUUCCGUUUUAUUUUUAUUUGUUGUUGGAUCCAUGAUAACUGAGGAUCAUCACAAGGAUGCAUAUCGUUAGUUCAUUUUUAUAUUGUGACUAAGUUGAUCAAAUGAGGAUUUUUCUAUAGACGAAGACAAUCCAUUGAAUCCUCCUCCAAGUAAGGUCGAAUUGGGCAUCUGCUUCCUCUUAUGGAUCAAAGAGAUAGAUAGGUGAAAAAGGAAAGGGUUGAUUAAGUUGACCCGCUAUAAUGGUCAAGUUAUUCAUAAAGCGAAGUAAAGAACAAUACAUAAAAAAAAAAAUGGAAUUGUUUGUGUGCAUCGUGUUUUGAAAUUGGGAUCUACUUUUAUAGUUGUUUUUUGGUAGGUUGAUUAUGGGAAGGCAAUAUUGAGAGACAUCGGUUAUGAAUCACCUUAAAUGAUAUCUAUUAUAUCCAUCUUUAAGCUCUAUCUAUUAUGUAAUGAUUGUUGGAUGACCUCUACAGUUUUGGUUAUUAUGUGGUUAUUGCGGGUCAUGACUAUUAUGUAGUUAAUUAUGCGAAGGUUCUCCUCUUUACAAGGUUGCAUAUCGCAAGUGGAUGGUUGUACUUUGUGAAUGGAGGUCAACCCUUAUAUGGGGACUACCCUAGGUCCCUAGUUGUGGCAUAAUGGUGGCAAUAGUUUGGUCCUAUAUAUCCAUUGUAGUGCAAUGUGGUAGAUCCCCGGAUGGCAUCAUGGCAUAUGGUGUAUGGGAGUAGUGCAUCAUUUUUUGACUUUACUACAUGACCAAGUAUAUUCAUGUCCCUAAAAUUAUCAAACAAAGUCUUGGGAUUUAAACCUAAACCUUCAUAAUAAGGGAAAAAGAAAUGCUAAGUGCAAGUUACAUAUCCUUUUGACGAAAUUGGAUAAGGUGCUCAUCAAAUAGUACUUUUGGAAGGCCGUUGUUCUACAAAGAUUAAGCACGUUCUUGUUAUUGGCUUGUUUGACCCAUGAACAUUCAUGAGUUAUGCUUGUAACCAUCCCUUAAAAAAGCUAAACAACGCUAGGGUUUGUGCUAAACAACAUGCUCUUUUUAUAAUGUUUGGUUCGGGAAAAUGUUAGAGAAAGAAAAAAAAAUACUAGGAAAAAUGAUAUUCUCAUAUUUGAUUUUAGGAUCAAAUUUAAAAGGGACAACAAUCUUUAAUUUGGAAAUCUAACUCCAAGUCUAAAAAAUACUCAUUUUUGACAAAAAUAGCCUUAUUUUUUCUUGUAAAAAUAAUAUUUCCUAUUAAAACUUAAAUAUAAAUAAUAUAAAGAUUGAAAAGCUUCUUGUAAAAAAAUGGAUUACUUUUCAAGUUUAAAUAUGGAAGGGGUUAGAUUUAUAAAAUUGGGUUCAUUUUAUCAUUUUUAAUCGAUUAAUUCUUGAUUUGUUAAAAAAACACAAAAAAGAAAAUCAAAUAUAACUAAAUUUCAUAAUAAACUUACAUAUUUUUAAAUUAUUUAAUAUUUAUAUUGAAGAAUUAGGAUAAAUAAAAAGAAUUUGAAAGAACAUAUAAAUAUAAUUUUGUGAUUUUAAAUCUAAAAUUUUGGAACAACCAAACAUAACAUUUUGGUUUCAAACCUCUCGGUGUUUACUCUUUUUUUUCCCCACUCUAGACCCCUUUCUUCUAGAAAGAAGGGCGGAAGGCUUUGUUGGUUAAUGGUCAGGUCUGAAUUCAGUUUUCAGCUGAAACGUUACAAAUGUAAAUAGAAGAGGUUCCAUUUUCAAAAUCUUUCCUUUUCUUUCAAUCCAACUACUAGAGUGAGCAUGGGGAUACCGCCAUUCAUCUUGGGAUGGUCUAGCUAAUGAGUCUUUGUGCAAUACAGUAUACAUGGUAAGGGUGCAGAACGUUAUAGGGGCAUCGGUGAGUGCAGAACACAUCCAAAACAAGAGAAAUCCACCCAUUCAUGUGGCCUCCCUAUCAUUUACAUGUUAGUAAUUGAAAAAAAAAAAUUACUUUUGUACCUUUCACCCUAUAUUGGUACGAAAUAACGAUGAUAGACAAUAAGAAAAAACAGUAUAAGAACACAUGGAUUUACGUGGAAAACCCUUGACAAGAAAAAACAUGGAUAAAGGAGAAGAAUAUUCACAUUAUUAAAAAUUGGAACGAAAAAGGGAGAGAUGCAAGCGGCUACUGCAUAGACAUUAACAUCAUGACCCUAAAUCCUAUACAUCAUCGCUUAUAUAUAUAUAUAUAUAUAUGUGUGUGUGUGUGUGUGAGAGAGAGAGAGAGAGAGUAAUAAAUAAAGCAGGUCAAACCUAAAUCCUAUGAGGCCAAUCCCUUCGCUACCACUACAGACCCUUCAAAAAAUCUCAUAAUUUUAGCUUCACCACCUAUGUCACACUGUGGACUUUUCGAGUCAGACCAAAUUAAAAUUCAGGUCACCAAACUCUAACAUAUACCUAUAAGAAGAUAACUUCUCUUAUCUUUCACAAUUUUUGGAAGUGGUUUUGUUCCAUGCUCAAUUAUACUGGGUCCUUCCAUCCUUAUUUUUCUUAUCUAUCUUCAUUUUUUUUCCCUUUUCUUGGUGAGUUUUAAGAACUAUUAACUGAUAUAUGUUAAUGGGGUCGAGUUAAGGUACUAUGAAUUUGAAAAGGAAAAGCAAGGAAGAACUUAGGUAAACCAAACUGACCACAAUCAUGUAAGACCUCGCUCGCUGAUGUAAAUGCCCUCAGUCUGGAAAGUUAGAACCAAAAUUUAACUUCGAAUUUCCAGGAUGGAUGGACAUAAAAAAGUUGGGAUAGCUUCUUCAUUUACAAUGGAGAAGUGUAGAAUUUGUUCCCAUGAUCCAUCUUCUUUGUGCUCAAUUUAGGUUUGUGAGAUUUUGGAACUUUCUGACCACCUACUCAUAUGGGUAGAUUUCUUGCGUGUUGAUAUUCUGAAAUCAUCUAUUUUCUGAAAGAACCAAUGAGAAGCACACUCAUUCUCUGUCAUAUUAGUGCCUGGUUGAAGGAGAUACCAAUUCAAUGGGUCGAUAGUCCAGCUCCCAAGUUGGAUUUUCUCCUCUCAAUCAGCCUUAAAAUUACAGUUCUGAUUGUAUAAACCCUCAUAUUAGUAUAAUGAAUCAAAUCCUCUAUCUGCCAUCAUUUUUCUCACUUUCUCUACAUCCUCCAAUCUACCCACAUUGCGGUAAAUAUUCAUCAAAAGCUCAAAAUUAUGUUCAUUAUCCGGCUCCAGCUCAAAAAGACACUCUGCAGCUAUCUUUCCAAUAUCUACAUUGUGAUGAAAGUAACAAGCAUACAACAAGGCUCCCCACACAGUCGGACCGGCCUCAAACUCCAUUCUCUUCUCAAUGAUUUCAUAGGCUUCCUCAAUCAAUCCUGCUCUUCCAUAUAGAUUCACCAUACAUGCAUAGUGCUCCAUGCUUGGAAUCAUUCCAUAGUCCUCUCUCAUCAUUGAAAAUAACCCUUCCCCAUCCUUAACCAAACCUAAAUGGGCACAAGCAGAUAGUAAUGACACAAAUGUAACCACAUCUGGCAGCACAUCAGCCUUCUGCAUCCGUGAAAAAUAUGUUAUAGCUUUCAGGUCUUUCCGGUGAGCAGAUAUUAUAGAAUUCCAUGACACAACAUCCCUUUCCGGCAUGUGAUCAAACAACCAACAAGCUUGAUCUAAUUUCCCGUGAUUUGAGUACAGAACAAUCAAAGAAUUAGCAAUAGAUAAAUUCCACUGAACUCCACGCCGAAGAACCCAUCCAUGAAUUUGCCCUGCCAGUUUUAGUGAUGGCACGCCAGUGACAACAGUAGAUAUAGCAACAGCAUCCGGCUCAAAUCCAUAUUGAAGCAUCCGGCGGAAGAUGCUCAAUGCCUGCAAAGGAAGCCCAUGACGAAUGUAGCCUGUUAACAUCGAAUUCCACGAAACCGAGUCCCUGCACACAAUCUUAUCAAACACCUUACGAGCCUUCACAAUGUCACCACACUUGGCAUACAUGUCAACAAGCGCAUUGAGCACAAACCCAUCAUCCGCAAAGCCACAACGAACAACAUGCCGGUGCACCUCUUCCCCUACCGAAAUCGAGCCAAUUCCUCCACAAGCUUUCAACACUCGUGGAAACGUGAACCGGUCCGGCACAACACCCUCUUCCUCCAUCUGAAAGUAAAGUGCCAUGGCAUCUUCAUACAGACCCAGUUCAGCGUACCCAGAUAUCAACGAAUUCCAAGCAAACGCCGAGCGAUUUCGCCUAGACAUUUGAUCGAACAGUCGAUGGGCUUCCUCGAUCCGCCCAAUUGACGCAUACAACCUAAGCAACUUGGAUGAAAGAGCAACACUUUUACGUAAGAGGCUGGUGGGUAUAAGGCGGUGAAUUCGGAUACCAUGAUCAAAGGCCUGUAAUUGGAAACAAGUCUCAAGAAGCGAAGAAAAGAUCUGGGCAUCGACUGUAAUGCCGUCUUGUAUAGAGGCCUGGAGGUCGCGGAGAAGGGCUUCAAGGGCUUGAAGUUUGGUGUGAUUGCGGGGUUUGUGAUUGAUUAAGAGUGGCGUUGGGGAUGAUUUCGGGAAAACGAGGUUGGGUUUUGUGUCUCGAUGAAAUUGUUUUUGCUUUUGCAAUUGGGUCUUGUUUAUUUUCAGAGAUUUGUGGAGACACAGAGGCUGUGUUGCAGUCAGCAUUUCUGUUUUUCAACCCUAAAAUGUAGUGUUAAGCACAUUCUCUGUAUCAUUUGUAUUCUUCCAUUUCCAAAUAAGAAAAUUUGUUUAAUUUUGCUGUAAUAUAUAUCAUUAAUAAAAUUUGUCUUUUUUUUUUUUUUUUCUUUUUUCCUUUUUUUUCUUGGUCUUUUUCCAUUCCCGAAAAUGAUUUCACACAUUUCAUCAAAAUUAAUACCGACUAGUAUGAUAUUAGAAUUCAGGUGUUUGUUUUAAAAAAAUUUAUUAAAAAUAAUUUAUUUUCAAACUUUAAAUUAUUAGUUUUUCUAUUUUUUCAUGAUUUAUUAUAAAUUUUUUGUUAAAUAGAAAAAAUUAAAAUAUUUGAAAUUUUCAAAAUAAAAAAAGUAACAUAUUAAUUUUUUUUUUCAUUUUUUAAUAUUUAAUAGAAGUAAAAUGUUUCAAAAACAAACAACUUAAUACUAAUACUAUUAAAAAUUAUUUAGUUUUAACUUUUAUUUAGAAUUAGGUAAAAAAAAAAACCAAACACCACCUUAAAUCUAUGGGCAAAGUCAAAAGAUAAUAUUUCAUAGCCUAAAUUUAAAUUUAAUCAACUUUAUUUAUUUUAAAUUAUUGCUUAAUAUUUUAUGAAAAUGUUUUUAAAAACAAUUCUAAAAUACCAUUCUUGAGAAUAGUUAUUAAAAAUAAUUCUUAAUUGUAUUCAAGAACAAAAUUUUAUUUAAAAAUUCAAAUAUAAAAAAUAAUUUCCUCUGCUUAUCUUUGAUAAAAGUACUAGACAUUUUAUAAUGCAAAAAUUUGUAAAGUAUUCUCUAUAUUUUCAAUAAUUACUCAAAGCACUUUAUAAAAGCAAUUAAAGACAAAAACAACCUAUUUUCACAAUAAAUUCUUAAAAACUUAUUUUAUAUCAAAAGUUUGUUCAACGUAUAUUUGAAUUAAAAAUUUAUUUUUUUAUUUUAAAAAAAGAAAAAUUAUUUUUAAGAAUAAUUACCAAACAAACACCUAGGUAUGACAAAUUGUUAAAUAAAAUUAUUAAAUAUACAUAUUUACCUUCUCAAUACUAAAUAGUGAACUUAUAUCAAGGAAAUAAAAAGGAUAAGGGCUGAUAAUUAUGACAAAAAAAAGGGCAAUUAGAAAAAAAAAAUUUCUUGUACUUUACUAUAUUUAUUAAAUUAUUUAAAAUAUUAGAUAAUUCAAAUUAAAUUAUUAAUUUGUAUCAAAAAAUUAUUUUAUUAAGCUUAUUUGAGCACUUUUUUAAUUUUCCAUUAUCACGUAGGAUAUAAUAAUAAUAAUUUUUAUUUUUAUAAUCAAGGAAUCUUCUAUGGUCAAAUCCUUAAGGCUAUGUUUGGUUCUCAGAAAAUUUGAGGAAAAAUGCAAGGAAAAGAAAAUACAAAGAAAAAAUAGAAGGAAAGAAAAAGUGGAGAAAAAUAAAAAAUGGAUUAAAAGUUGAUAAGUUAUUUUUAUUUUUUACUUCAAACUCAUUUUAUUUAUUUUAACUCAUUAAUAUAAAGAUUAAAUAAUUUUAAAAUACAUAAGUUUUUAAUUAGUUUUAAUUAUAUUUGAUUUUCUUUUAUAUUUUUCAUAAGACAACCAAACAUGAAAAAAUCAUUUUUCUUUGCAUUUUUUUUCUUUCCUUAGUAUUUUUCGGGAACCAAACAUAACCUAAGACUCUCCACGGGGACCCUCGAGGUGUUAAACGUCCUGCAAAAACCAACACCGAGUAAAUUUAAGAUAUCAUCAAUGACAAAAUUCAAAUCUAAGAUCAUGUGUCAUUUACCGAGACCACACUUCCCAAUGUUCAUCCUGACCAACUAGGCUAUCUUGACUAGUCUGGGUAUAAUAAUUAUUCAAAACAUUUCUAUUCAAAGCCAAUUUUUUGCCUUGGCCAAACCAGGGAACCUUCCUUAUCCGGAAAAAAAAAACAUGUCUAUUGUUUGUGAUUUUAUUUAAUCAUAAGAUGUACAACAUAUUCUUUUUUCAAUACCAUGCAGUUCGACUACAACACCAAUAGUUUGCAUAAAAUAUGAAAGCGUGAUUCUCCGCUUUUCUUAGUACUACUUGGUUCACAUAACCAUCGUUUCCGUUGCCUAAAGCAACUACACAACUUGUGGUUUGCACAGCAGGCAGGAGAUGUAGAAAUGCACCCAGCAACAUCAAACCAAACUCAUAGUCCCACCAAAACAACAACAAAAAAUUGAUAAUGAGAGUUAUCCUGCAGAUGGUUUUUCCCUUUAUGAAUUCCCGCACUUUCCAAGAAAAAAAGCCGUGCUUGCUAACUAACCUAUAAUGCUCCUUCAAAAGAAAAGCAAGGUGAUUCCAACCAAAAACCUUGACCUUCCAUGCUUUGCCCUCUUCUUUGUCUUCUUCAUUUCCUCCUCAUUUAGUUGCCUAAUGCAGAAUAAGAUCUAUUUAAAUCAUAGUCAUUCAAAAAUUGACAUCUACCAAUAUGUCAUGUCCUGCUAGAUAAGUAAAUAGUUCAUCUGGCGAUAAAUAUGAAUUCAUAUGCUUGGAGCUUAUUUGAGAAAAUUUUAAAGUAGCUUUCUAUUUCUUAAAUACAGAAAAUUGUUUUCUAGACUCAAAAAUCCAUUUGCUAAUUUUUUUUUUUUGACAGAAAACCAUUUUUUUGGAAAGAAGGUGUUUUUUUGAGAAUAUUUUUUAAUUGCUUUCAUUUAUUUUCUAAGGAUCAUUUUAAAAAAUAAUUGUCUACAUUUGGAGAAUGAAAAUAAAAUGCAUAUAAAAGUUAUUUCCAAGAAAUAUUUGAAAGCACAGAAAACAAAUUGAGAACAUUCUAAGUUCCUAAACAUACUUUUGUUCGAGGAAACAUAUAGAAUUACUUUUGAAAACAGUUCUAAAAAACAGGUCCUCCGUGACCAAGUACUAGAGAAUAGAAAAAAUGGCGAGAAUACAUACCUCACAUACAGCAAAAACUGGGCGAACUUGUUCAAAAAUCUCAUCCACGGUACCUACUGCAUUAAUCUGCAGGCAUAGGCUUCUGUUACUACAACUGAUGUUUUAAUUCUUAACAACCUUUAUUUUUAAUUUUUUAAUUUUUUAUGAUAGAUAAAGAAAAGUUGUAUACAAAGAUAAGAGGAGACCAAAAACAACACCCUCAGAGUAUACAGGAAGUAUACAAAAGAAGCCAAAAAGCUCAAACCAGAGGGGGAGGGAUAGAAACAAAAAACAUUACCUGCCCUUACUUAGAGCCUAACCAAUCAAUAAAGGUUACAAGAGAAAAAUGGCUCAAAUCUAUAGACACCCUAACCCAAGACCAAAGGUUACAUAUAAAAGAAUUUUUCAAUCUUUGGAGCGAAAGCUCCUCAUUACCAAACGUUAACAAAUUCCUUUUCUUCCAUAUUGUCCAAAAUAUACAUAAGGGGUCACUUGCCAAGCCUUUUUACGAGCUUUACCCACAAACAACCAACUAAAAGGAUAACAAACAAUAGUUGAUAAACAAACUGCCAUAAACUCAGCCAAGUUAAUUUAAAAAGAGAAUUGGUAAAGCAAUUUAUCAAAUAUCAUAAAUUGCAGACCAAAGAUGCUCUUACACUGACACCUGAGGAAGGAUGAGGGAUCCAAGCCACCAACUCAUAAUGGGAUGUAAUUCCAACUCUAAGCAUAUUUGUGUGUUGAUAAUUCUAGGUCAAAGUUCCCAUUGUUUUUCUCCUAGCUCAAUCACUUCAAAUCUUCCCUUGGACUCUUGUCAUUCUAAUUUUUUUGUGAUUUAAGAUUGCUAGAGGAGAUGGUUAGUGUUUUUGAGGCGAUAGAUAAUAUCAAACAUUGGUUGAAAAAUGAAGUUGAAGCUUAAGAGUGUCAAAAUUUGUAUUUAAAACAUUUGGAUCGAUUUUUUAUUAAUCAAACUAAAGAGUAACAGUUUCUAUUGUACCCAUAUUUUUUUUAAUCUUGUCUAAUCGAACAAACUUUGACCACAUCUGUGAAUCUUCAUUAUUUUCCUAUUGAAUCUCAAUUGUUUGAUAGGUUUUAAAACCUUAAUAUUUAAGCCAUUUUUCCAUAAGAAGAAGAGGUUGGGAGAGCUAAGUGACUCCUCUUUGAGUUUUACGUUUCUUACAAAACUUGGAGUGUGUUUGUUUUGAGAUAAAAUCUCAUGAGUUUGAGUAGAAAAUCAUUUUUGAGUGAUAAACUUUCUUUCAAAAUGGGUUGAUUCAGUGUGGGUUUCAUCCCUACUCUUAUAUUCAUCAUAUUUGGGGUAAAACCCAAGUUUCUUCUUGUAAGGAUUCAAAAAAAGGUUGAGAUCAAGCUUGAUGUGGAUUCCCAAUAUUCUCUGGAGGAAGAAAGUGGGUAACUAGAGUUUGAAGAUUCUAGGCAAGUGGUCCGGGAAAGGAUUGAAGGGUUGAACUAGGUAAAUCUUUGCGCUCAGUUAAUUUUAGUGGAUGUUUUGAUCACUUGAGACUUGUGGUUUUUCAUCUUUUCGAAGGUUUUCCAUGUUAAAAUUUUUGUGUCAAUGUCUCUUUAUCACUAUCUCAUUUUUUGAUUAGUUUAUGUUGGCUUAUGAAAUUUCCAUUGAGUUAUUUUUCUUAUUGAUAGGGAUUAUGAGUUAGAAUUGGAUCAUUUAAGCUUUGAAAGAGUAAAAUAUUUUGGUUUUGAUGUUGAUGUCAAUGGACAUGUGAAAAUGUGAAUUUGAGUUGAUGCAAUGUCUUAUACAUCUUGGUUGGGGAGUGUUGUUUCAUUUGCAUAUGACUGGCAUUGACUAUCUUGUUGGGGAGUGUUGGUGCAUCCAUUAUUGCUUGUGAUUUGCUUGCUUGCUAAGUAGGAUUGAAAAAGAAAAUCAAAACAAUUGAAAAAUCAGGGGAGUUGUUAGCAUUUGUGAGAUAUCAUCUCAAAUAGUUUUUAAAACACCUAUUCACCCCCCUCUAGGUGUUAUCCAGAGGUGAGAUUCAUCUUCACCAACUACUGAAUUGUAUAAAACAAACUAUCCCAAAUCCUUUUUUUUCUUUCCUUAUUCCUACCAAACAUUCACUUGUUAAUACUGAAUGAGUACCUUGUAAAGCUUUCCCUUCUCAGAGUAAUAUUUGAUAACAGGAAGAUGCAAUGCUGUAAAAACUUCAAGCCGUUUCUUGAUUGUAUCUAUGUUGUCAUCAACUCGGCCCUGGAUUUAGAAGAUAUCAUGCAUGAUUGAAGAAAACAAUGGUCCCCAUGUGAUAUGAUAAUACGGAAAUUAAAAUGAAUGCACCUCAUUACGGCUUAGCAGUCGCUUCACCAUCUCUUCUUCAGGGCAAUGAAAGAAAAGCACAAAGUUUGGUUCUGCUCCAAUCUGCAUUUGAGAAAAAUAGUCAUCCUUCAUACAUGCAGUGUUUUAUAAUGGAUUCAGUACUGCCUUAUACUACUAAUCUCCCUUUCAGAUUCUUCAUAUCUGAUUUCUUAUUUUUCUUUUAGAUUUCAUGACUUGGCUACAGAGUUCAUUCUUCCUGGAGGGUCAAGAUCUCACUUCAGACAGUUCUUUGAAACCAUUACCCAAGAUAUUCUCGAUUAGAUUUCAGAACUGGAAACAAAAAAAUCUUCCAUUAAACAGUUUUCAUAAGGAAACAAAUUGAAGUAACUUACAACUCUUUCAAAUGCAAUGCGGUUCUCCUCAGUUCGCGGAAAUCCAUCAAUGAGAAAUUUAUUAUUUUUACUUGACUCCAUUUCCUUCUCAAUCAGUUUGACUGUCACUUCUGAAGGGACGAUUUUUCCCUCUCUAAUACUGUCUAGAAUCAUGGAACUGAAAUUAAAUUCCAAAUAUCAUUAAAAGGGUCAUAAACUCGAAGAAAUGUUUCAUAAAAGAUUUUUAACAGCAAUAGAGGGACAUUGUUACCCAUGUUCACUAUUACAAGAUAUUUCCCUCCUUAACAGUUCUCCAGCACUUAUGUGUGUAAAUCCAAAGGUCUCAACAAUCUUUGCACAUUGUGUACCUUUUCCACUACCAGGGCCACCUGAGAGAAUGGAGCAAAAUGAAUUAAAUUUCAUGAACAUGCAACAAAAUGUUAUAGUGUGAACAACGGUCGCCAGAAAUAAUUAGAGGGCUUUUCAGUACAACAUUAUUUUGCAUAGCUAAGGAAUGGCUUUUCUUUGUCAAAUAUCAAUUUGAGGACCAAGUGACACCUGAUGUACAAGUUACUAUACCCUAUGACAACUUUGUUUAACCCACAUUGUGUCAAAGAAGCUUUUGGAAUAGAUAUCACUCUUAUAUAUCCAUGCGAAAUAUCACAGGGUUCAGAUAUCAAUAGCUCUACUGUCCAUUCUUGUGUUUCCUUUCAUAUGGAAAAAUCAAAAUAAAACUCCAAUUGAAGAGUUAUAUUAAUGAGAUAGCAAUUAUCAAUUUAAUAUUUGGCAAGCAAGACAAGCAUGGGACUUGAUUCGGUGAAGGGAAGAAGAAAAUAACAAUAAAACCCUUUCAAAAGUUCCAUUUUGAUAUUUAGGGUUUGCAUAUCCUAAAUGUUUAUGAGUGCAAGAGGGUGAAACCAAAGAGAAGACAGUAGGAACAUGUGACAGGAAAAAAAUAUUGAAUAAAGGAUACUUCCACUCCUCUGGGCCCACAUAAGGCAGAAGGAAGAACAGAAUCACCACAAAAUAGAAGUUUCUGUUAUACUCGACUUUAAUGCAAUUCUUAGACCAUGGGUAGUCUCUAGAUGCAAACUAAUGAUAACUUUAAGGAGGCAAAGCCACAUGAAAAAUCAUAGUCCACCAUUAGAUAACUGAUAGCAAAAAAACCAUUUCAAUGAAGUCAAGCAUUUCCAUUUUUAAUGACUCAAUCCCCUUCACAUUAAUUAUGACACUUCUUAUUGUUAAAGGCAGUCCCAAAGAGUUCCUAAAACUCCCUGACUAUGAAAUAAUAUCAUAUUGUAACAAUUGAAGUAUAAUAAUAACUAUUGGAAUAACCUCUUCCAUUUGGUUAAUUCACAAAGCAAACAUUUCAACAUGAAGCAAUACCCAAGGAAUGAAGUACAAAGCAUGAGCCUUGGAAUAUAUUAUUUUUGUGGUGGGUGUCAAAACAUUUUGAUUGAGCCAGCAUCAGGGCAUAAACCUUUAGAACUAUGAUUUAAACCAAGAAACUCUAAGAAAAUAUGAGCAUAUAUUUCAUAACUGAGUGCAAAUAUAGACCUGGAAACCUGGAUUGAGGUUCCAAGUGCAAAGAAUGCACAAUUGUUACCUACAACAAAAGUUAUGAAUGGUGUUUUCUCAUCAGAAGAUAUUCCAGCUUUUGCCUACAUCUCAGCAAGAAAAGAACAAGUUAAAGAUAAGAGAAACAACAUAUAAUUAAUAUCUUUAUAUACAUUCCCAUACUUCAUAAAUAAAUCUUCCAGAAAUCCCCUAGGCUAUGAAUCAAGAACUGGCAAAUUAUGUAAUGUAAACUUAUGUUAACAUUUGUCAUGUGUGGGUGGGUGAAGGGUGAGUGUGUGUUUCUAGGUGUGCGAUCCAUCUCACUCCCAAAUUUUAGGACACAAAGACUUGAUUAAAAAGGAUCUGAAUACAUGGAUGCAGCCUACAUAAUUUAUGGCUGUCUUAGCUCAAAGAAGCGAUAAAGACUUAAGGGCAGUGAAAUAAAAUGACUUGAAAGUGAAAACCCAAUCCUAAAAUCUCUUACCCACUCUCUCUCUCUCAAACUUCUCAUUUGUUGAUCACUACUCUAGUUCUCUCUCAAAGCCCCCACCACAACCUUUUCCUUCUUUUGAAAAUAUCAAAACUUCUAGGGACACCAUCUCCAACUUUUCUUCUCCUCUCUUUUAUUUCUUUCCUUUAUUUAUUUUUUUAAUUUUAUUAUUUUUUUGGAGAUAUUACAUAGUCUCCAAUAACGCCUCCCACACACCCACUCUUCCUCUCUGGUACCAGAAAACCAAAUGGACCAGCAUGCCUAUAGAUGCAAUUUUAUUUUUCUUUUUACUCUCUUCUGCUAUUUAAGUUUCUUGUACAAGGCAAAUGCCCUUAUGCUUUAUCUCCCUUGAGGCAACUGUCUUCACAUAUGUUUAUUUUGCUGUACAAUUACCUAAUUUUAUCUCCCUCCUCCCUCCCUUGCACCUAGACCAAAGAUUUAUGAAGGAUGCCUAAUGCUUAAAAAAAAUCAACCAAAGAUGUUGGUCUGAGAUGACUGUCAUUUCUAACCCAUAUCUUGGACCCACAUCCACUUGUGGUAAAGUGAAAAUUCCAGGCAUUUCAAAUGUAAGCCAAAAAGUCUACAAAAUACUGCAAAAACAGCUAACUCAUGUUAAAACAGGUUGCUGAAAUAAUGUCUCAGAGUUUGAAUGAACAUUUAAAUUUGUAGGACAGUAUCAACAUAGCACAAUUUUUCUCCUAUAUUCAGGUUUAAAAAUGCAAUGAAUGAGAAGUAAAAUGUGCUUCAGAAACAACUAAAUGGCAUGUGGUUUAACUUGAUGACAUUACAAGACCUAUUGGAGGCCCAAAGUUUUCCAAUCUGCCUGCUUGGUUUUGCUCAACUAAAAGACCAAAAAGGUUCAAAUUGAAUACACAACCCAAAUUCCAAGGUCAAACUGGGCCAGAAUAUGAAUAAUUGAUGUAAUGCAUACAAAUUUUCAUGUCAGACCAAAUUUUCAAUUAGAAUGCUCAAAAAUCUGCCAGAUAGAUUUUUUUAGACCAAAAAGAAAAAAGCUUCUGGUAACAUUUUCUUUUUUCACUUCUUUGCUUCCCUAGACAACAUAUUCCGUCCAAUAUCUAGGUCUAAACCAAGUUAAACAAGGAAACUUGGUUUUAUGCUGUUAAUUCAUGCAAAUCCACCUUAAACCUGUGAUAUCUAGAGCCUUCACUUUACAUGUCCGACAAGGUAAUCAUAUCUUGGACACAGUACUUAUGUCUGACACAACAGUUGUGUUUCAGAUAUGAUAGUCCCAACUUUUUUCUUAGGUACCUUUCAUAAUAAUUGGUCUAGCUGUAAGCAGGAGAGAACAAAAGAAAGAGAUAAAGAUAUGAUAAUGAUAUAAACAGAAUAAAGUACAGAAAACUAAUUCCACAUGGAGACAGAGAUAAAAAAAAUUGACUUUUAUAGAAUACCAAGAUGGCGGGGCAGAGGAAAGUGAAAGAAAAAUGUUUGCACAAUACUUCCAUUGGAUUGUUCGAUAUUAAAUGCAAUGGAACACAUUCACAUUAAACAUCAUAAAUAUCUUUAAAGGAAGUCAAAGGGGUGAGUACAAAAGUUUUAAUAUAUCUUCAAAAGAAGUUGAAGGGUGUGGUGAGGGAAUAGAAAGUUGGACAGUGAGAGAAGUGAUCAAGAAGUUGAGAGGCAUGAAAAUAGAGAGGGAAAGUAAGGGAGAGAUUUUAAGAUUGAAGUUCAUCUCUUUCAAGUCAAAUCUCUUCAUUACCUUAUUCUUCAUCACUUAUUUGAUUUAUAGGAGCAUAAACAAAAUAAAAUCUUUUUCUAAGCCGACUUACGAAAUAAAGAGAUGAAUAGAUAAUUAUUUAAAAAAUUGAUUAUGAAAUAAACUAAUAAUUUAUCUUCACAUAAAUUAUGAAGUAAAUAACUAAAGUUGUUAUGCAUAUACACAUUUGUACCCAAUAUUAAGAUCCUCUAUAGCCAAAUCCUCAUAUCCUUAAAUUUGGUAGUUUAAGGACAUCUAGGACAUCUAGACCAACACUCACACCAGAAUCUAUGUAGCAUAAUCUUAAGCCCAUUCUUUUGCAGCCCUUACCUAGAAGAUCAUAGGUGAAGUUGCUAGGAGAUGUUAAAUUAGCCCUGGAUGGAGCAAAAUGAAUUAAAAAGAUUCACAUGGCCUGCCUGUUUAAUUAAGGCCAUUUCAAGUUGGCUUAAGUACAGAAAAAUGUGCUUAUGAGAAUUCAGGGAACAAUUACUGCCACCACCUUUAAAUACAUAUUUCUUCACAUCUGAUUGAUAUAAACUUCAGAAGCUUUAGCAUAUGAACCAAUUUAUUGAAAAAAAAAAAAGAAUGCAAAAGCCGGUUAUAAUUUCAUAGAAACUGAUUACAAUUAUAUGCAACAUUAUCUCAACAAUAAGAAAAGAUCCUCAUAACAAGCUCUAUGUACCGGAGUGAGUAUUUCUGUGGUGAAUAACUCCCAAAUCUUCCCUCCAUAUGAUGCCUGCAUUAGAUAGAAGAAACAAAAAGUCAUAAGUAGCUAAGGAUUGGUAAAAAAGAGAUAUAAACAAUUAAGAAAAUACAAUUAGAGCAAUUAAAUAUCUAAACUGAUAGAAUUCCCCAUGCUGUGUCUUGAAGUAAAUGCCUAAAAGACACUCAUGAAAAACACUAAAAAAGCUCAUAAAACUACUGGAAUCAACUACCUAAUAACCCUCCUCUUUACCCUAUCAGUAAACUGCUCUUCCAACUCUAAAUUUGAUUACUGUACAAAAUACUUCACUAAAAGGAAGUUUUGACUUCAUAACUGUAAUUGGGCUGGUGCAUCUUAUCAAUAAUAAUCUAAUGCUAUGUUUACUGCCAAAUAUGGAUGAAUCCCCUACUCAUAUAGAUAGAGCACAGCACUGUAUAAGCACUGCUUUUACAUUUCAAAGUUCAAUUUAUAGUUCUCAUAACUUUUAUUCAUGUACAGAUAUUUUGAGGCCAAAACUAAAAAGAAAAGCACUACUAGAACUGAAUGCAGAUAUAUCAGAAUCCUUUACCAAAUACCACUGCGCUCAAUUCUGACUCCCAUAAAAUAUCUGCAACUAAAUGGUUGAUAUGUAAAGGUGUGUUAUUCAUAGUUAAAGGCUGGAAGGCCAUUUCAUGCUAACAUUUAGCAGGCUUGUAUUGUAUUGAACAAUUGAUUAGAGGCAUGCCAAGACCAGUUCUUUAUGGAUUAAUUUCUUUCCAACUAGAACUUAUACUUCACUGGUUUGUGAGUUGGGUUGGACUAGGAGCAAAGCUUGGUAUUGUUGUCAGUAAGAGGUUAGUUUUGGGAGGUUGGAGCAAAAAUAUGUGCAAUAAUACUCAGCUGGAUAUUCCUCUAACUUUGGACUUGUUUAAUGACUGAAACUCCUAUUAUGAUUGGUUAUGCUUCUUCUUGCAGAAGAAAGUUCUGGUAUAUAAUGUGUAAUGAGGCCCCUUUUCCAAUAUCUCCUCCAGUUUCAGGCAAUGAUUUAUUGAUUAUCGAUUCUGAUCUUGAUCCUACACCUUUUUUUCCCCAGUGUUAACCAUUUCCAUCAAUAAAGGCAUGUAUCCUUUCCUUUGCUACCUUAUCUCCAAUUUUAUGUCUUGCAUUGAUUAUUUUCAGAAUACAAUUCUUUCAUUUUUUCUGGGUCACACUCUAUUAUGGUAAUUUCAUAAUAAAAAGCCUCACUGAAAAGUAGAAACUAAACAGAGAUAAGAAUGCUACUGCAACUCAAGGAAAAGCGUCUUAUGGUGAUACCUCUUACCAUCUCAACUUCAACUAUUCUCAAGCUUGUCAAAUUUUACAGGUAACUCUAUGAUCAUAAAGCCCCAAGGAUACUGUUUUAUUUUCAAAGCGUUGUCCAAACUAGUAAAAGCUUUCAAUGAUGCACCAAUCUUAUAAGAAGACAGUCCAAACAAGAAAAAAGAGAAAAGACAGGGAAGACCAAAAGAAAAAUGGCCCCAUUCUAACUGGUAACAUCAACAAUCCCCCACUAUACAUUUCUUUCUAAAUUAUACCACCUGUAGGCAGGCCUCUGCCCUCUCAUGUUCACUCCACUUUUAAGUUUUAGCUAUGUAUUUGGAAUAGCAAUCUAUAUCAUUAUCUUCAUUAUUGAUCCUGUAUAUAGAUGCCUGUAUAUAUAUUUAUCCUGUAUAAGGCUCUGAGUAGCAUAUGGUUCUAACUGAAAGUUCAUCUGCCAUCUCAACAUCGCCUGAAAAAUCAGGCCAACAACAACACCUAAGGCUUGGUGCCCUUCCAAUCAAACUGCUAGCUUGUAAUCAGAAAAGGUGCCACAUCUAACAACUUUCAAGAACUUUAGCACCUGGCUCUGCCUAUCUGUGAUGAUCACAAGAUCACCUGAAUUUCUGUUAAUAGGGACCUGCACUAGGAUAAGUUCCAUUUGGUGGGGCAGGGCAUCAUGGCAUAUUUUUUCAGCGAUUGAUACCCAACAAGCCCUAUUUAAGAGAUAAUCCGCAUAAAAUAUAGUGUAAGAUGAUGAUUUAACCACUUAAAUUUAAUUUUCUUCAAAGAUGCUAAAUAAUUCAAUCAAUGGAAAUUUUUUUGACAAUGUUUAGGACCAAAACUGUGAAAAUAAGAUCCUAUAUAGUAAAAUAUGAAAACAGAUGAGUUAUGAAUCACACAGAAAUUUUGUACUAGUAAAUCCACAUGGGCUUCAAUGUUUUAACACAAACAUGAAAUUUGUAAAAGGGGCCAAACAUUAUAUGUCAACAUAUUGUCACAGGAUGCUUCAAAUGAGCCUCCUCAUGGGUUUAUAUAGAGCCCAGGAAACUUCUGGAAACUCCUACAUUUAGCCAUUAGUGGGAAGAGUGUGGAAGGUUCUAGAGAUGCCUAGAGAAGUCCACACAUAUCUACACUAUGGUGGAAGGCAUGAGAGGAGUCCAAGGCUUUCUAAAGAAUUCUAGAGAUCUCUUGUAUAUUCUUGUACAUAGACUUAUACAUAGAAUUGUGUAGGGUGUUCUAGAAUCUUCUUGAUUUGUGAGAAACCCUCCAAGGUUCUAGAGAGUUCCAUUGGUGCUUAUAAAUAGGUGAGAGCCUCAUUUGGCUAAGACACCAAGCAAGUGAGUUCCCAAAAGCACUUGUAAAACUUCCUUUGAGUAAUAAAAGCUUCCAUUUUUUAAGAGUUGCCUACUACGCCUUUUAAAGCUUCCAAGUCGUGAGCAUCUUAGCCCAGCAAGCUAAGCAUUGGGAGAAAGGCUGACUUAGCAAGAUCAAGUGUCUUGAUUUGUCUAAAUGUAGCAUGAGCUUAGAAAAAGACUAAGUUUGUGACAAUAUGCUUCUUAACAGGAGCAACACUCCUCCCUUAAGAAUCAGUUUUAUUUGAUGAGUAUUAACCAUUUAAAUCAAACAUUCUUUUCACAAAACAUUCCAGAAGAUUUCCACCAUCCAAGCAACUUGACACAAUUUGAAUAAGACUAGCUAUAACAAAUCAAUAAAUAGAGUUUCCCUAUGAAAAACUUGCUUUACUGAGCAGCACAUUAUCAUGGAGGUACAAGAAUUCUCUGCCUACACAUGGCUAUGAUUGUUGAAAUAAUGAAAAUUCUCCAAUCCAUAUUCUUAUAUAUUUUUUUUUCUAUGAUUUCUUAGCAAAAAAAUGGCACAUUAAACAAAAUUAAUAGUUAGAUCUUCAACUAAGCCAAAUUGAUGAAAUGUAUUCAAUUAUUUGAAGAACGACAUUUAGACAAAAAUAUGGAAAUUAUAAGAGAAUUACGACAUACCUGGUUACGAAUAGAUGGUUUGGAAGAAGAAAUAAAUGGAGAAAGCGAAGUCACACGUCUCCACAUAUCUGGGUUAUGUACCCUUCUCCACGAUUUCUUGCUCUAGUUUCUGAUUCCAAUGAGACAUUUCCUCAGAUAAGUUAUAGACUAUAUACAUGGGGAUAUAAGACAAAAUUCAAAUUAAAUGGGAAUCCUAAAAAAGGGUAUAUGAAAUCAUACUUAAGUGAAUUAAGAACUAAAUAUUAAAAAAAAAUAAAAAAAUCUGCAUUUCUGCAUAUCAUAUCUGCAUUUUCUUUUUUUAUUUAAUUAACUACCCCUAUAUUCUUUUUAACACCAGCCUCAACUUAAGCAUAGAUCAGUCAUUCUUCACAUCAAAAGGCCAACAAUCAAAUUAUCAACAAAUUUCCCACAAACCAUAAAUACCGAAAAAAGGAAAAAGAAAAAAAAAAAUGAAGAAGUCAAAUUCUUACAUGUUAUGCUAAAUCUCUUGUCCUUCUUCACAUAAACAGGGCUUAUGCUUUAAGAUAAUCUCUAAUCUGGUUGGUAUUAACUACAAAACAGCAUGGUUUUUCAUCAAAAACCUUCUGGGUUUUUUCAUCAAACAGCUCGAAUGCAUUAUCAAAGCUACAUUUCAUCAAACAAAUUCUUUACAUUAACGAACAUGAAACAACACUAAACCAUCCCACGAUAGCACAAGCUUAACAAUGAAGAGAAUUCACAAAAAUUAAAAUUUUGAUUCCUGAAAUCAUUAAAAAUACAAAUAAAUAAAAGCCAACAACCCAACUCAAAAAAAGAAAAAAAAAAUCAUGCAAUAGAUUCAAAUUCAGUAAACUUGAAUGUCCAAAUGAUGAUCAAAUUCAGAAAACCUUCAAUUUUCCAGAUGAAAUUCAGAAAUUGGAAAAUUCUUGAAUGAAUCUACCAAACCUUAGGAAAAAUCUGAAAAUGGAGAAGUGUUCGGGGUGGCAUGUCGGUCUAACCCCAACGCAGUACAAAGAACGUGGGCCGACCUUCGACCCAAACUAAGAGGUAAAGUUUUGGGCUAGCCCAUAAAAAUCUACUUUGGGCUAGUGGGUUUUAGCCAAAACUCAUAAGUGAUGACGAUGAUAGGAAAUAAAUAAUAUAAAUUUUUAUAAUAUAUUUUUAUGUUAAAUAAUCUUUAUAUAUAUGGAUAGGAUGGGGUCAACUUGUCCCUGAAUCAGACUAGAAAUUUCAAAAAAUCGCCAUAUUAGGAGGGGUGGGGGAAGAGGAGGGGGCUUGGUGAGAUAGCACAAUAGUCCCAAAAAAAAAAAAAAAAUUCUUUGUUCCAUUUUCAUCUCUAGAGGAUGAAAUUGAUGGAGUAAUCAAAAGUUAAUAAGAAAUAUGUUACAUUGUAUAAGAAUAAAAUAAUAACAAAUUGAAACCAUGAAGAAUGAAAAAAGAGAAAAAAAGAAUAUUACAUUGCUUAAAAUAAAUAAAAAAUCUCAAAAUCGAAUAGGAAAAAAAAAAUUAUAGAUUUUGCCUUCCACCAACAUCCUUGUGUAUAUAUAUAGAACAUGAAAUGCUCACCAAAUGAUUAGUAUUUAUAUCAAGUGUAAAUAUAUUCUUUAAGCAUUAUAAUUUGCUUAUUGUUAUCCUUAUUUAUAGGAAACUAUUGAAUGUUAAUACCAUAUUUCUAUCUAAGCAUAGAAAGUCAAUUAUAGCAACAUUGUGAUAGGGAAUAGAUUAGCAUGUCCUUUUAUUAACCUUGUUAAUGCAUUCUACAAGAUUAGUUAUCAUCAUCCAAAUCAAAGGCUUCUACAUUGUAUUUUCCAAAGUUUGAAAGAAUAUUAUAAAUACCAUUUCCCAAAAUUGUGAGAAUGAUAUUAUGAUCCAAUCAUAUUCAUGAAUCUUUUUCUUAUACUUGUUUUUGAGAUUGUUAGUCACAUAUCUUAGAUUAUAUCAAUCAUGAAGAACAUAAGACUUGGUCCAUCUUGUUCCAUCCUGUUGGAAGCUUUGGAUUUCUUUGUUCCCAUACAUUGGAUAGUAUAGGUGCAUGCAAACUACCUUAGGCCUAUAGAUCCUAUGAAAUGGAAGCAAAAAAUCAUAUUUUUACAAAUCUAGGAUCCAAAGAAAAGGCAUUAGAAAAACUAAACCUUUGAAUCGUAUGUUCCCGAAUCAAUUCCGCUCACUGAAGAUAAAGAAUGAAGAAUCCGAAAGUCUCAAACGCCCAACAUUUUUUUGUUUGAUGACUUAAACUACGAUAUUGACACUCCAAAGUGUGGGCUUUGGAAGGAAAGAAUUUUAAACUCUUUUUUUCUAGAAGGGAAGAUGAUUGUCUCUCAAAAAUGAUGGAAACCCUAACCUUUAAGGGGUUAUUUAUAGGGUUGCCUUAUUGGGCUUAAGUGACUUGAACCUACUAAGGCUUGGAAUUUAUUAAAGAAAACCAUUUUGAAAUUUAUUAAAAACUAUUUUCUAGAAAUUUUAUUAAAACUGAUUUUUCUGAAAAUUUUAUUGUAUAGUAAAAAAAAAAAAAAAAAAAACUCAAGCGAGAAAAAUAAAUCAAAACCCAAAUAUGGCAUGAAAUGAAAUAUGAGACAAAAAUACUAGCAUAAAUAGAAUUACAAAAAAAUUAAGACAGUGAAAUAUGAGGCAACAGGACUAAUAUUAAUAGAAUUAUAGAAAAAUUAAGACAAUGAAAAAUGAGGCAACAAGACUAACAUAAACAAAAUUAUAGAAAAUUUAGGAUAGAAAUUGCACAAAUAUAGAAAACUUGAAACAAAAUACGUAUAGUAACACAUGUCAACACAUAUCAACAAAAUAAUAAAUAAACAUGACAAAUUUAUAGAUGGGUAGAAAAAGUUUGGCAAAUGUGCAUACAUACAAAUUAUAGAGUAUAAUGAACAUAUAACCCAAAUAGGCAAAGAACUGAAUAAAUGAGAUGGAUAAAAUAUUUAACUACCAAAAUGCUUAUAAAUAUAAUAAAUAUAAAACAAGAUAAAUCUAAUAAAUCCUAAAAAGAACAAAAACAUAAUACAAAUAAAGAGAUGAAGAAGAAAUAACUUACUUGAAUGCCACCCUAAAUUGAUCUAGACUCUCCGAACCUCCAAAGGCAACUCCAACAUACGAAUACAAUAUAAAAAAACUAAUGGACAACCCUAUAGUACAUACACAGUAAGGAAAAACUCUCUCACUAACAAUAUACAAUCAAGAAAGAAACCCCCCGAAACACACACACACACAAAGAGACAAACACAAAAAGAAUAAAGUAGCAACACCUUUUCUCUCUCUAUCGUCCUCCCUAUUGCCUAAGGCUUGUGUGCCCUUUUUAUAUAGCUUUCAAGACUUCCACCCUAAGAAAACUCUUGGGCCCAUGCAAAAAAAAUAACUCAUAUCCAUCUAUAAGGAAAUUUGAAUAUCAAUUCAUGCAAUUUUUGGAAAAAAAAAAUCUAAAAUUCAACCUCAUGCAUUUUUUUAACAAAUAAAUAAAUAGAUAAGUAAAUAUAAAAAAAUAGACAAAAAUAAAUAAAUAAUUCAUAAUAAUAAUAAUAAUAAUAAAUACUGCAAUCAAAAUUCAAAUGUUAAUCUAUUGUAAUUAAUGAUAAAAAAAAUGAAAUGUUGAAAUCUCACACCUAAAUAUUGAAAAUUCAAUCCAAGCAAUUAAAAAACGAAAAAAAAAAUCAAGCUGAAUACUCACAUAAACUUAGAAUCAUGCCAUCACAACUCAAAAAACAAACCUAAGUGCAUUAAGCCUAAAGAAUCGAUCUAAGUGAACCUAAGGGGGUUGGGUGAACUAACAUAGAACGUGCCUAAGUGAUUUGAAUGGAAAAAAAUCUCUUAGUGAACUAAGUGGAAUCUAACUUAAGGGGGUGUGUAAAUGGGCUUAAGUGGGCAUGGUGUCAUAGGAAAUGCCUAAGUAUGCUAUCCUAAUGAAGGAAAGUGCAUCUAAAAGGGCUAACAUGAAAGAAAAAGGAAAAAAAUAACCUAAAUCUAACUCAAGGUUACCAAUGGUCACAAUGAGGAGCCAUAUAAAUCCCCCAACUAGAGUCUCCAAGGUGGCUCAAAAAGUAUGAGUAGUAAUGGGCUACUAGGGAAUUGUUGUGGAGUAUUGAAAGAACACCUCAUAAUGCAUGUGCUAAGAAGACAAAAUGGGGGGUCUAUACCUAAUGCAUUCAAGUCAUGUAUAAUGCAAUAAAUGUUUGGCUAGAAUACUUAUGAGAUAUGAUGUAUGGAAUAAGGAUAGAUAAAAGUGAAACUUGAAUAUUAUUAAAUAAAUAAUAAACUUUAUAUUUGUUACAUCAUAUCAUACAUUUAAGGGUUCUAUCCUAAUAAAGAUCACCAUCAUUGAUGAUGAUUUUGCCACAAAAUAUUAAAAAUUAAAAAUAAUAUGAUAAAAAUAUAUUUAUCUUAUUUACAAAUGAUAAGAAUUUGCAAAAUAAACAAACAUUUUAUUUAAGAUUCAUAUAAAAAAUCUUUGGUUAAUGGAAAUCUUAUAUCUUGGCCUCUAAAACAUAAAACAUCAUUUUUAAAUCUAAAUCCUAAAUUAUCAAAUGUAUUAUUAUAAUUAAUAUUUUAAACUAUCAAGUGUACUAUUUAUAGGAUAAAAUUUUCAUUUUCUACCCAUUUCAUACUUAUAUUUACAUUUAAUUUAUUCUAAUUAGUUAUUUAUUAUGUAUUAUAAUUUUAUAUUUAAUGUGUCCAAAAAAUUAUUAAAGUUAAUAAAUAUGAAAUUAUUUAAAGAGUGAAAAGAAAUCUGAAAGUAAAGAGGUUGAGUAGAGAAAGCCUCGUCACUUCGACAUAUAUAAAAAAAAAAAAAAAAUGUCAAAGGUGGGAUAUCAAAGACGUAAUAUCAUUAUUAGAAUAACAUUUUUUUUUAAAAAAAUUGUACCAAGUUUAAGAAAAAUAAAGUUAAUUGCAAAGAAUGGGUUAAUUUUUUUUUCCACAUUUUAGGAAAAUAUGGAUUAAAUAAAUAAAGAAAACUAAAUAUCCAAUUGUUGUGAAUUAAAUAAAUAAACAAAACUAGAUCUCCAAAUUUUCCAACAAUUUUUUUUUUUUCGAUAUUUCAUCUUAUUUGGAAAGUGAUAGGAUCAUCGUGGAGCAAAUUUUGUGAAAAAAAAAAAAGGGUUCAUCAAGCAAAGUUUCAAAAGAAUAGAAUUGUCAAUGGAAGGACUUCAUAAUGAAAAACAUUUUUAAGGAAUUGAUUCUAACUUCUGUACGUCCUUUAAAAGGUACUACCAAUUGAUUCAAAGACUUGGAGGAUGAUCCUCAUCCUCUCGACACUUCACUCUAGAUGCUAGAAUUGAAUUAAUCGGUUCCACAGUAUGAAACUUUUCACGGGGAACAUGGGACAUGUGACAACAUAAGUAUGUACCAAACCAACAUAAAGAAACUCUAGACAGAAAGAGAUCAAUAAUAGUUCAAAAAGUGGGGGUGAUGGGGAUCAAGGCCACCAAAACCAUUCAAAUUACAGGAGUUGAGAAAAAACAUGAAACAUGGUUAAAAGAGAUGUGUUGCCAAACAGCUCAUUCUUAAUAAAUAGUGUAAAUGAGACCUUAGAAGUGUAAUAUUUGAUUUCUUGUCAAUGUAGCAAAAUGGAAAAAAAAAAAAAAGAAAAGAAAGUGAAAUAGAUAAAUAUGAAAAUCUCAAAUGAAUUAUGAUCAAAGUUAUUUUAUGGUAAAAAACAAUCCCAUCACCAACAAGUCUUAUCUCACCUAUAUCAUUGAAGUGAUGGGACUUCUUUUCCCUACCAAUAGGCUCGUAAAAUUGUCACUUAAUUAUAAUUCUAGCAUGAUUAAAUUUUAAAAAGCUAAAGAUAAUGUUGAAUUACUGGAGUUAUUAUGACGCUAUAAUUAAUGUUUGUAGAAGUUAAAGUCAAAAUUUAUAACUGUGGGAUCACACUUCUUUUAUUACUUAUUAGUAUAAAAUUUUAAGUAAAUAUGUUUCAGUCUAUAAACAUUUUUCAUUCUUCAUAUGUAUACAAAUUUUAGUAUCUUAUUAAUCUUGUUUCCUACCUCUAGUUAAGUUUGAUUCUUCUUUAUUUCUAUACACACUUAUGUGGUAUAUAUUUUUUCACAAGCACCAACAAUAAAUAUAUAUAUAUUUUUUAAAAAGUAAGGAUAAUUUUGACAUUUGCAAAAUUUUUAACAAAGAAAAAAUUUAUGUCUUACAUCAUAUUUGAGUAAAGUCAAGGCCACUGAGAGAGUGUUUGUCUUUUUAGUUUUUUGCUGAAAGUAAUUUGCUUUUAUAUUUUAGGUUAGGUUGUUUGUUUUUCUUCUUUUUCAUGAUUUAUAAUAAAUUUUUGGUUAAAUAGAAAAAAAUCAAAAUACUUGACUUUUCUAAAUGGAAAAAGUAACAUGCAUAUUGGUUUUUCUUUAUUUUUAAAUACUUAAUAAAAAUAAAAUAUUACAAAAAUAAAUAAACUAAUACUUAAUACUAUUAAAAACUAUUUAUUUUUAAGUUCUAUUUAGAAUUAAGUAUAAAAAAACAACACCGCCUAAGUGUCAUUCACGAUUCUUAAUUCUAUACAAACAUCUUUAAAGGUUGCAAUUGAUUUUUAAAUACUUUUUUUAAUGUCUAAGAACUUGUAGCAAAUACAACUAUUAAACAUAUUAUAUCAUUUUCAGAUUACAAGGCCAAUAUAUAGAGAAGUUAGAUGAUUUAGUUUGAAUGGAGAUUUUGCUUCAUAUUUUUAACUUAUAUAAAUAAAAAGACCAAAUUAGUAUAAUUAGAGUUUGAUUAAGUAGAAGAGUUUUUGUGUAUAAAAAUGUAAUUUGCAAGGUGCAACUAUUUCAUCUUUGCUUCUAUUUGGGGUUCUCUUAAACGACACAGUUAAGUUGUCAAAAUAUGUACCUAAAUUACUAUCAAAAGACUCAUAUUUGUCUUAGAAAUGAGGUUUGAUAUCCAAGUAGUCAGUUCAAACAAGAUCUUAAAAAUUAAAGUUUCACAAUAAUGGAAUAAUUUAAAGAAGAUAUUUUUUAAAUUAUAAUUACAUGACCAUCAUACUGAAGAUUAUUGGUAAAAGAAGUCAUCAAGAUAACUACCUUAAAAUUUUUUAUAUGUUAGUAUUCAUGGUGCUGAAUAUAUAGUUGGUCUAGUAGUCAUUUCAUGGAUAUUGAAAAUAAUUUGUUCAGAUUGCUAUGGUUCCUUCGAAGUGUUGCUAUGUGAAAACAUGACUUUCAAGUAAUGUAUGAAAAAAAAAAACUAUAAAAAAUGUUGGACGUAUAUACCAUGUUUUUUCGCCAUCCAUGUUUGAUAUAAAACCAAUCUUGCCAGCCACAAAACGGCACACUCAACAGAACUUGUACUGAGCUCGCUGCAUUCAACAAUGGCGAAUGUUGCAGCUACAAACAUCACCUUUUUCAAACCCUUUUUGCAGCAUUAUUCCAAUUUUCCUACCUCAUUUUUCAACAUCACCAUCCCCAUUCCCAAUCAUUACCAUAAACCUACCAGCACAAAGUGUCUCUCCCGCUGCCACCUCAGUGUCACUCCCGAACCCUCCCCGGGCGCCCCAGAAACCUUCGUUUCCCGGUUCGCCGCUGACCAGCCGAGGAAAGGCAGUGACAUCCUUGUGGAAGCCCUGGAACGUGAAGGGGUGACUCAUGUCUUCGGUUACCCGGGGGGAGCCUCCAUGGAGAUUCACGAAGCCCUCGCUCGCUCCUCCAUGAUCAGAAACGUGCUGCCCAGACAUGAGCAAGGGGGCAUCUUUGCGGCAGACGGCUAUGCUCGCGCUUCUGGACGCCCUGGUGUCUGCCUCACCUCCUCUGGUCCAGGCGCCACUAAUAUUAUCAGCGGCAUUGCGGAUGCAAACUUCGAUAGCAUACCCAUCGUGGCCAUUACUGGGCAGGUCCCACGAGGCUUGAUGGGAACCGAUGCCUUCCAAGAAGUCCCACUUAUUGAUAUAACUCGACCGAUCACAAAGUUCAAUUAUUUAGUUCUUGAUGUUGAAGACAUUCCUCGCACAGUUAAAGAAGCCUUUCUCCUUGCAACUUCAGGCCGACCUGGCCCGGUAUUGAUCGAUAUACCAANNNNNNNNNNNNNNNNNNNNNNNNNNNNNNNNNNNNNNNNNNNNNNNNNNNNNNNNNNNNNNNNNNNNNNNNNNNNNNNNNNNNNNNNNNNNNNNNNNNNGGGCUGCCCAGUAUUGCAAGCAUAAGAAUCCCCGCCCACUGGCUCUCUCAAGUGGAUUAGGAGCAAUGGGGUUCGGAUUGCCUGCUGCUAUGGGUGCUGCACUUGCUAAACCCGACGCAAUUGUUGUCGACAUUGAUGGUGACGGAAGCUUUAUGAUGAAUAUCCAGGAAUUGGCUACAAUACGAGUGGAAAAUCUGCCAGUGAAGAUUAUGCUAUUGAAUAAUCAGCACCUUGGCAUGGUUUAUCAGUAUGAGUAUGAAUAUGGGGACGGUGAUUCGUUGCACUCAUACAUGGGGAAUCCAUCGAACCAGGCCCAAGUAUUUCCUGACAUGUUGAUGUUUGCGGAAGCUUGCAACAUAACUGCAGCCCGUGUGACAAAGAAAGCAGAGCUGAGAGAGGCAAUAGAGAAGAUGUUGAAGACUCCUGGUCCAUUUCUGCUAGAUGUGAUGGUACCCCAUCAAGCACAAGUGCUGCAGUUGAUUCCGGAUGGUGGCACUUUCAAAGAUGCUAUCAAAGGUGCUCAGUAAAUGUAAAACAAAUGCAAUUUUAUUAUGAACUGUCAAGUACUAAUACAAUGGAAAAUAAAAAAUAAUAUUUAUUUUUUAUAUUAAUAUUAAUAUUAAUGAAGAUAUUAUCAUUUAAUUUUCAUUUCAUUGAUAUUGAGUAUAACAAAAUUUAUUACAUGUGUUAGAAAAAGAAGACAUAAAAACAAUAACUCUCCAAUCCCAGGAAUGAAAAUAAAUAUCAAUAUGUCAAAGUAAUUUAUCUAUCUACCAAUACAAUUCAGAUGGAAGUAAUUUGUAACAAAUUUGCAAUCAAAGCACAAAAAAAAAAAAAUGAAUAGCAAGAAUUUUAAGAGAUGAUUUAUCAAACGGAUAGAAAGCAAGACACAAAUACUAAGAUUUAAUAUGGUUUGAAAAUGUGCUUACAUGCACAACUCAAGCUUUGACAACAAUUCACUAUAGUAAAUAUUACAAAUGUCACUCCUCAAACUUUCCAUAAGACUUAAGUUAAUAUGGCAAAAGGAAAGGGAUACUUGUAUUACUAUAAAUAUGCCAGUUAUAAUUCAAACAAGUUUAAGAGCUUAAAAAUACCCAUAAGACGCUUCAAUGGAUGUUUAAUGGUGUUAGUAGAAGAAAAAAAUUGAAACCUAGCCUUUUUUCUUUUCUCCCUAGAACUCUCUUUCUAUUUAAUUUCUAUUUCAACAAAACCCUAAAUUUUUGCCAAUUCAUGUCAUUUUAAGAUGUGCUUGUGCCCAAAUAUUGGGUCUAAGAAUUAGGACCAACGAUAACUAUCAAUGGACUAGAUGCCCUUGAGGAGGAUUGUCUUAAGUGAAAUUCAAUCCCUAUUGUAAUAUUCAUGAUUCUCUCAUUGAUCUAAUUGUAAAGAUCUCUUGAAAUUUCUCCAACAUUAGCCAUAAGUUAUGCUUUAUAGACAAUUUGAAAAUUUUCCUAUGGUUAGAUUCAUUGUGGUUCAUUUACAUUACUUAUGUGUAGAAGCUUGAAUGGAUCAAGAAAGCAUCGAGGGCUCAAAUUCUAUAGAGUCUCUAAACACUGAAAGUGCAAUUGAAUUUUUAUUUGGAAUUGACCCUAUUUAAAUUGUAGAUCUAAUCCUAUAAUUGAAUAUAUUUGGAUGACAUCUAUUCAAUUGAUAAAUUCUCUAUUUUGCUUCAUCUUAAUCAUCAUCAUUUAUCAAGCUCCACAUAUUCAUUUUAUCAUGAAUGAUUUUAUCUACUUUUAAUGCAUUUUUCAAUCAUUUAUGUUACAAAUUUUAAUCACUUUGAAUCAAUAUUUUGAAUCAUAGAUGACUAAUCCUUGUGAAAACGGUCAAACACUAUACUAUAGGUAUUCAUUCUCAAUCAAAUGGAUAAAAAUAAUUUAAAAACUAAUGCUAUAACUGUUUAUUAUCAAUCAAAUUGCCAAAUUCAUUGCACAAACAACGAUAAUUAAAACAAUAAUCUAGAUACAAUUAAAUCAACAUACCUAUUUACAUUUUUCUUGCAAUCAUCUCAUUUACCCACUCGUUUUAGUUAAAUUUUUAGAUUGAAAACGAGCCAUGCCAAUAUAGAUGAUUAAGACAUACAAGCAAACACAUGCUUCAUCUUAAUCAUCAUUAUUUAUCAAGCUCCACAUAUUAAUUUUAUCAUGAAUUUUUUUAUCUAUUUUUAAUUCAUUUGUCAAUCAUUUAUGCUACAAAUUUCAUCACUUUGAAUUGAUAUGUUGAAUGUUAGAUGACUAAUCCUAGCGAAAAUAGUCAAACACUAUACUAUAGGUAUUCAUUCUCAAUCAAAUGGAUAAAGAUACUUUCAAAAACUAUUGCAAUAACUAUUUAUUAUCAAACAAAUUGUCAAAAGUCAUUGCACAAGGAACAAUAAUUAAAAAAACAAUCUAGAUACAAUUAAAUUAGCAUACCCAUAUACAUUUUUUCUACAACCAUCUCAUUUACCCACUCAUUUUAGUUAAAGUGUCAAACUCAAAAGGAGUCAUGCCAAUAUAGAUGAUGAAGACAUGCAAAAACACAUGCUUCCUCUUAAUCAUCAUCAUUUACCAAGCUCCACGUAUUCAUUUUAUCAAGAAUGAUUUUAUGUACUUUUAAUUCAUUUGUCAAUCUUUUAUGCUACAAAUUUUCAUCACUUUAAAUCAAUGUUUUGAAUCUUAUAUGACUAGUCCUUGUGAAAAUGGUCAAACACUAUACUAUAGAUAUUCAUUCUCAAUCAAAUGGAUAAAGAUACUUUAAAAAACUAUUGCUAUAAUUGUUUAUUAUCAAUUAAAUUACCAGAAGUAAUUGCACAAGCAACCAUAAUUAAAAUAACAAUUUGGAAACAAUUAAUACAUGGAGCUUGAUAAAUGAUGAUUAUUAAGAUGAAGCAUGUGUUUGCUUUCAUGUUUUCAUCAUCUAUAUUGGCUUAGCUACUUUUGAAUCUAACACUUUAACUAAAAUGAGUGGGUAAAUGAGAUGGUUGCAUGAAAAAUGUAUAUAGUUAUGUUGAUUUAAUUGUAUCUAGAUUGUUGUUUUAAUUAUCAUUGCUUGUGCAAUGACUUUGGGCAAUUUGAUUGAUAAUAAACAUUUAUAAAAAUAUUUUUUGCAAGUAUCUUUAUCCAUUUGAUUGAGAAUGAACAUUUGCAAUAAAGUGUUUGACUGUCUUCACAAGGAUUAGUCAUCUAACAUUCAAAAUAUUGGCUCAAAGUGAUGAAAAUUUGUAGCAUAAAUGAUUGACAAAUGAAUUAAAAGUAGAUAAAAUCAUUCAUAAUAAAAUAAAUACAUGGAGAUUUUGAAAUGAUUGUGAUUAAGAUGAAGCAUGUGUUUGCUUGCAUUUAUUCAUCUAUAUUGGUUUAGCUCUUUUUGAGUCUAACAAUUUAACUAAAUUGAGUGCGUAAAUGUGAUUUAUGCAAAAAAAAAAAAAAAAAGUGUAGCUAUGUUAAUGAGUCGAAUGUGCUUGCUCCCCUGAGUGUGAGGAAAAAAGGCCUUAGCUUGUCUAUGAAACGAGUUAUGAAAUGUCCCAAAGCUACGAGACAACCCGUGAGGUGUUGUAACUCUUUCUUAUUGUUUAGAGCAAUUGUUUCGAGAACGACUUUCACUUGAGCCGGAUUGACUUAAAUUCCUCUUUGGGUUACCAUAAACCUUAGAAACUUCCUUACGUUGAUGCCAAAGGCACACUUAGAUCUCACUUCAUGUUGUAUGCUUGCAUAAGAUGGAAUGCCUCUUCCAGGUGUUGGGCGUGCUCAGCUCGGGUUUCGCUCUUUACAACAAUGUCGUCAAUGUAGACUUCCAUAGUUCAACCAAUUAGGGGCUUGAAAUUUUUGGUUAUUAGCCUAUGGUAGGUAGCACCGGUGUUCUUCGGUCUGAAUGGCAUGACUUUGUAUUAGUACAACCCUUGCGGUGUAACAAAGGUUGUAUUCUUCUCAUCUGACUGGAACAUGGGGAUUUGGUGGUAUUCGCAGAAGGUGUCUAGAAAGGAAAAUGUCUCAUGUCUGACAGUGGUGUCAACUAUCUGGUCUAUCUGGGGUAAAGGAAAGCUAUCCUAAACAGACGUCAUUUAAGUUGGUGUAAUCAACACAAACUCGCCACUUUCCAUUCUUCUUCGGAACUACCACCACGUUUGCCAACCAAUCCAGAUACUUGACAUCUCUGAUAAAUCCAAUUGCCAAUCAUUUGUCAAUUUCUUCCUGGAUGAUUUUCUACCUGUCCAGAUGGAAAUGCUGGACCUUUUCCCCGAUAGGCCGCGAGGUAGGUGAAACAUUAAGUCUGAGAGAGGAUAGGCAGAUGAAUCCCUGGCAUGUCUGAGUGAGUCUAGGCAAAGAUGUCAAUGUUGUGCUGGAGCAUUCUUUCUAACAGUUCUAGUUCCUCAUGCGUAAGCAAAGAGCUGGUAUAGGUGAUUUGUCUUAUGUCAUGUGAAAGGUGUAGUGGUUGAAGAAGAUCAACUAUAGACAGAUCUUUCUCUACUGAGCUCAGUGAUUUUUAUUGCUUCAUUACGCUUGAUGAUUCAGGGUGUAUCUUGUCAUCGACCGAUUGUCUGAAGUCUAGCACCACUUGAUAGCAUUGACACACGGCUAGUUGACUGCCAAGAAGAUCGACUUGUCCCUCCUCCAUGAGGUAGCUCACCAUUUGGUGGUACAUAGAGGGAAUGACUUUCAUUCUGUGAAGCAUGCAUGCCCCAUUAUAGCAUUGUAUGGUAAUAAGUUGUCAACCAUCGAGAAUCACACAUUUAGGAUGACUAGGCCAACUUAGACUGGUAGCAUAACGUCACCCAAGGAAGUCGUUGUAGCUUCAUUAAACCCGAACAAUAAAUGCCCUGGGUUCUCUAGGGCAAAUAGUGAGUAGCCCAUCUACUUAUAGGCUAACAUUUGUAAGAGGUCAGCUAAGCUACCCAAGUAAACCAGAAUCCUUCUCAUGUCAAAUCUGCCUACCCCUAGUUUUAGGACUAGGGUAUCUUCAUGUGGUUGCAAGAUUCAGUUAGCAUCUACUGGAGGAAAAGUAACUACGUCGUCUAUAGGGCGCACACUCUCUUUUGAAAUGUUGUUGAAUGGAAUUAACCCGCUCUUUUAUAGAGGCUACACGGAGCAACCUUCGCCUUUGCCGCUUAAAACUGUGUUUAUUGUCUACGAGGCCUCUAUGUAUAUAAUUGAUGACAACUUUGGGAGCUGUCGGAGAUAUAGAGCUUGGAUGGUUGCCUCUUGCGCUGCCUUUUUUUACUUGCCAGUUGUGCGGACAUACUCUUUUAGGUACCCGACCUUAAUUAGUUUCUCCACCAAGUAAUGGAGACUCUUGCAUUGCUUGGUGAUAUGACCGUGAUCUUAAUGAUAGGAGCACCUUCUAUUCCAAUCUCGCUUAGCUGGAUCUAUCUUGAUAGGUUUCGGUGACCUGAAGUAUGACAGAUCACAAAUGAUAGGAAGGAGUCUUUCAUAGGAUAUACUGAAGGGGGUGAGUCUUACUUGCUAGCUUGCCUCGAUUGGUUCAAGGGCUUAGAACUCCUGGCCUCAUUGUUCUUGGUCGGGCGAUGGGUGACCAAGACUUGUUGAGAAGCUGCUCGGACUUCGUCUUCAAGCAUAGAAUAUUUAUCCGCCUGUCUGAACAGGUCAUCCAUCGUUCCAGGUGGCUUCUUUGCAAGAGACUCAAAGAAGGGUAUGCUUAGGUUGAUAUUUCGCUUGAAUAUUUACAAGAUGACAUCCAUAUUGUAGGAUUCCACUUGAAGUACUGCUUGCCCAAACCACUUCAUGAAGUCUUUGAGCGACUCGUUCUCCUGCAACUUGAUGUUUUGUAGGGUGCUUAUGUUCUGUUUUUGGCGAGCAGAACAUAGGUAGUGGCCCACAAAGGCUUUCAAGAUAUCCUGGAACGUGUUUAAGGAAUUCAGUGGGAGAUGGUGGAACCAUGAUAGAGCUGAGCUGUGUAAGCUAACCGGAAAAAUCUUGCAUUAGUGCAUUAUUCCCUAUGUCAAGGGUCAUGAGCUGCUUGAAGUGCAUAAUAUGAUUAAAUGGGUCACUCGUUCCGUCGUACAUCAUGAACUUUGACACUAUGAAUCCCUUGGGCGGCUCUUAGUUGAAAAUAUGGGGGCUAAAUGGCGUGGAGAGCAUGUCAUCCAGCCGCUGGCUAAUGCAAUUGUGUAGAGCUCGCUUCAACAACACUUUAACCUGCUAUCUUGAUAGUUAAGAGGGUCGUUCUAGCAUAGGUGUUGUGGCUGGGGGACCUAGACGAGCACUCAGAAUUUCUAACAUGCAUGAUUGCCUUUCCACGCUUGGCGCUUGAGGUCCCAUCUGAGCUCGCAAUGCAUCUAAUAAAUGCAAUCUUUUGUUACGCCUCAUUUUCUUGGAUACCCGGUAAAAGGUUGUUUCUUCAUUCGGCUGAAUCUGGCGAUCCGAUGAAGACUCCUCCUUAGACUGUUUUAAAUAACUACUAGAAGAGAACUCUAUUCCCCAGGGGUAAAAUGCCUCAGCAGUUCGCCUCAAAGUCAUGUGCCAGCUCUGAGUGUGCUGACUUUAAAAGGGGCCCACUGUUGACAUCUGAGUCUGUAACUCCUCAUUCUCCUCUCUGAGUCAUUUUGUUUGGUAAAACAGGGUCCACAUCUGUCGAUCAUUUUCUCAUUGGCAUCUUUCCAUCCUUUUAUGCCAUACAAAAUAAUCCUCCCCACCCAUAGUUGACGAUUGACUUUUGGAGGGUGUUGACAUCCUUAGUUCUUUCGCUUCCCACAGACGACGCCAAUGUUGGUGCAAUGCCAACCAGAUUGAGUCCAUUUAGCUUCUCUGGAGUCAAACGAGCUUCUUCCCUACACAAAGGAUAUCCGGACAAGUGGUCCGGGCACUCCCCUCCGAAGCUUAAGUUAGAAAAGAAUAAGGACGGGUCUAAUUCUUUCAAAUGGAUUUGUACGCGCAUGCUUUUUUUCAUGCUUCUCCUAGGUUUUUAUAGAGCAAAUGGCACAUUCACCCUAGUGCUGAUGGUGUAUUCAUGCCUUUUUUGUGAUGAUGAUUGCCACCAGGGCGGAAAUCAAGCCUUAGCAAGAGGGUCAAUGCCAUCAUCUCUGCACCGAUUGAGCAAUCAUACUAAACAAAAUCCGUUGACUAGUGCCAUUUGCUAGCUGUUGAGCAAGAGUCUCAGACCACAUAGUUGACUAUGCAUUUACGUUUAUCAAUGUCGUAGAUUGUGCGUAGCAAUUAAUAAACAUUGACUUUCAGGUGUAAAUGUUGUUUAAGUCGUUGCCCAGACAUUGGAUGUGAUUGUCCAUCUGUUCAAUGCCUAGAGUCUCCGGUUAUGUUAGUUAAUUUGUUUGGAAAUCUCUAUUGACUUGGUCUGUCCAUUCCGUCUGACAUCCAGAAAGAAAGAAAACUCAUUCGUCUUGUGCUAGAUGGAAUUUGUUUUGGUUUAGACAAAUGGAUCUAGACGGAUCAUCUCUUUAUCUUGGACGAACCAAGGGUUUUGGAUUAGGGGAGGAUAUGUGGAGGGAAGCCCCCACAACUUAUACUUGAGAUUUUAAUUCUCUCAAAUUGAAAGAUAUUUUGAUUCCUAAGUUACUUUUUAAUUUUUAAUUUUUAAUUUUUAAUUUUUAUAAAAAACACAAUUGUAUAUUAUUAAAAAUAAAAAAUUUAAUUAUAAUAAAUUAAUAAAUAAAUAGUUUUUAAUAAAAUGUGAAAAUUAAUAAUAUAAUAAAAUUAUAAAUGAAUUUUUUUUUAUAAAUAUUAUAAAAAUAUAAAUAUUAACAUUAAUGGAUUCAUUUGUUAAAAAUAAAUAAUAAUAUUUCAAAAUUAAUAAUUUCUAAUACUAUUCUAUUUUAAAUGAAUAUGACAACAAAUAAAAUUUAAAUUUUUAAGGUAUAAAUGAGCCAAAUUUUUUAUUAUAUUUAUUACUCAAAUAUGAAGAUGACAAAUUGAAUUAUUUUAUUUAAAAUUACAAGAUUUAUUUCAAGAAUUUAAAUAAUUAAUUAUGUCUAUUAUUUUUUAUAGUUAUUAAAUAAUUUCUAAUACUAUUCUAUUUUUUAAUUAUUAAACUUAUUAAUAAAUUCAAUACAAAUUCUCACAUGAUUUGAAAAUCAUUUUUAUAAUAAAAAAAAUCAAAAGAACAAUUCUCUAUUUUAGUUUGUUUUUAAAAAUUAUUGUUAUAGAACAAUAACCAAAUAUUGGUAAAAAUUUUAAAAACAAUUUUGUUUUUUAAAUCACACGUACAAAUAUUGUGAAUAUUAUUAGAGUUUAAAGUGUUUAAUAUUAAAACCAAUAUAUAAAUUGUUAAUUCUAAUUCUAUUAGGAAACUAAUUCUAAUUAUACUAUAAAAAAAUUCAAACUCUAAUAAAACUAUAUUAUUAAUUAAUAAUAAUCCUAAAAUAAGAAAAAUAAAAAAAAUUAUCACUUUCUAUAUUUAGGCUUGAUGUAAGUACGUAAUCAAACAUAUGAAUCGCCAUUGUUUCCUCUUGACAAAAAACAACUCCACUUUGGUGAAUUAUACAAUAGGUAUUACUCUAAAAAGAUAAGGAUCAAGUCAAUAAAAAUCCUCAUAAAAAAUCCAAGUAUCAUUUAUAGAAUGGCUAAUCCUUUCAUCGAACAAAGAAGACAAUUGCCCAAUACCGAAGUAACAUAUUGAUCCACCUAUACAUGCACAAUCACAUCAGUAAUAACUGUUUUCAUUCAUCACUAAGAGCCAAACUAUUGAAGGAUAGUUUAAUAUUUGUAUGGUUUGCUCAUUGUGGACUUCAUCUUUAUUUGAAGGUCAUACCAGCCAUAAAAUCAAGAGCUAAAUCUCUAUCUUUCAAGCUUGAGUUCACCCUGAAUUGGGGAACUGAGGUUGGAUUUUGGGGUUUAGAAAAACUUUUGAUAACAAUACAUCUCAAAUGCAAUAAGAACAAUUUAUGUUCUACCUUGUCGAUCAGAUGUACUAAGCUUGCAAUGAGUUGCUCAAAUUCGCUUUUUUCCCCCUAUUGGACUGAUUAAACUCAGAAUUUAAAAUCAAUAUUAAAUUGAUUGCAGAUAAAAUGUUACAUCUAAAAUAAGAACAAUAAGUUCUAACUCAUUAAGAUCUUGUUUGACAGUGAUUCUAGUUAUAAAACAUUUCUAGCCUUUUUAAUACUUGAAAACUACCUUUUUGAUAAAAAAUUUCGAGUGCUAAAAGACUCUAAAUUGAUUUUAUGAAGUACUUCUAAUCUUUUCAACACUUGAAAAUUUCUUAAAGGAAUUUUCAAGUGUCUGAAAGACUAUAAAUGACUUUUAAAAUCACUGUCAAAUAAGUUCUAAAUGUACUUAUGUAUCAUAAUUUACCAAGCUUAAAAUGAGUUGCUUCUAUGCUUUUAUUUUUUCCCCAUUUUUUGCCUUUUUCCUUUAUGGAAAUCACCAUCAAUAUUAGACCAACUCUACCUCAAAAUUUUACAUUCAAAUUGGCCGACAUGAAGACGAGGACAAUAUGAAACAUCCAUUACCAACAAGAAAUUCUAAUUGAAUUCUACAAAUGCAGGUGUGACCAGUUUGCUGAAGAGGAUAUAAAGAAGAAAGAUUGAUAGUGGUUGCAGGACUAUGGCACUAUAGCUUUCAACAUGUGAAAGGCUGCAAAUAAGAAAGAAUGUGGUGAAAGAAGGUGGGAAAAAAAUGGUCCUUAUCCUCCUUCCAUAAGGUUAGGCUGUCCUACAUCUACUAAAUGUGGGGCUCCCGCCUUACAAUGAUUGGAUAUGAACGGCCUAGAUGAAUAAAAAGUGAACAUAUAUUAAUCAUAUGAUGACCCUACCAUUUACAACUGCCAAAUUUCAACACUGAUCAUAGAGGAAAAUGAUGUCAGGCAUGCCUGAGGAACAAAAGUGAGACUCGCAAGAAUAUCUUCAAUUUAUUAAUGAACGUGUUGAAAUGAAUCUAAAAAAAAUGCUUUAAAAAGACUGGUGAUGUUGCUAGUAUCUUGUGAUAGAAAGAGUAACACAUAAUUGAAGGGAGAAGGAUGCCAAAAACGGCCAAGUCGGCCGUCCCAUGAAGGCCCAUUUGCAAGCAAGGAGUCCAUAAAAUAUUAUGGAUUUCAUCCAGAACAUUGUUGAGCUAUCUUAUCACUCUUUUCCAUUUGCCCACUUGCUUCUAAUUUCAAAAGAAAAGGUCACACGAUCAAUUAUUCUUCAAUGCGUGCUUAAAAAUUGAGAUAUUUUAUGGGUGCUUUGAAUCAUUGAUUAAUUGUUAGGCUUCAAAACAUCUUCAACAGGACCACCUUUUUGUGUCGUUUUUUCAUUCAAUAAUGCUUUACAAGUUGCAUGCAAUUGGGGUUUCCUACCAGGAAUUGUUGGCCUUUACUGGAUAAAAAAUGUAUAGAGUGAAACUGGGACAACUAUUGGUGAAGCUUUCAGGUUUCAACCGAAUAAAUGAGAUCAGGUGGGACACAAUAAGCUAUUUAUAUUUAUCAAGCUAGGUUUUUGGCGUUAUCUUCAUUGUACCAAUUUUAAAGAGGAAUCUCAGAAAGUCAUGACACCUCAAUGUAAGGAGCAAGCACUAAUGUCUUUUGAAAAUUGUUUUUAAAAAUAGUUUUAUGUUCUUGAGAACAAAAAAAAUAGCAAAACAUCUUGAUCAACAAUCAUAAAACUAUUUUUUGCUUUUUAUUUUUAAGAAUAAGAAAUAAAUAUUUUUAGAAAACAUCUUCUAGUUGUUUUCAAUUUUUUAUAAAGACUGUUUAAAAAAAAAAAAUUAUACAAAUAUGGGGAAUGAUUAAAAAUAAAGUACUAAAUAUAAAAAUUAUUUCUAAAAUAUAAUUUAAAACUUUUGUUGUACAAAAUAUUAAAGAAUAAUUUUCAAAAAUUAUUUUAAAAAAUAAUUAAUAAUUACCAAAGAAGGUCUAAAUAUCAUCAUCUCAUUGAUAUUAGUAAUGAUUCUUAUCUAUAAAAGGAACAUAAUUUGUUAUAAGUGAGUUUCAAUAUUUAUAAAUAGAUAUUCCUUUUUUUUCCUUUCCCUAAUUAUCCUUUCCUAGGAAAGUAAAACAAAAAAUAUAAACCUAGAAAAUGAUCAUAACAAAAAUUAUCUUUAAUGCUAAAUUUGCAAUUUUCUUUUGACCAAGGCAACAUCCAUUGUUCCAGCUGGGGAGAGGAAGAAACUGCUUAAACACUUUGAUGUGGAAGGGAUAUUGUACUACGUAAAUUACUUAAAAAUUAAGUACUAGUUCAUAGUAGUUGGCUUCAAUUUCAAGUUUUGGGUUUUUCUAUGUGGUGUUUCUUAUUUUACUAAAUAAAAAAAAUCAAAAUAUCUGACUUUUUCUAUUAAGUUAAAAGUAACAUGUUAAUGCUAACCAACAUAAAUAAAGUGAAUUUAUUGAUAACGAUUUCACUUUAAUUAUGUUGAUUGAUAUUAACAGGUUACUUUUAUCUAAUUAGAAAAAGUAAAAUAUUUUAACUUUUUCUAUUUAGCAAAAAAAACAAGCACUAAGGUGAUUUUUUUUAUAAAAAAAAAUCUAAAUAAAACUUUAAUGCUUAAUAGUGUUAAGUAUUAGACUAUUUGUUUUUUUAAAAUAUUUUAUUUCUAUUAAACAUUCAAAAGUAAAGUAAAAACAACAUGUUACUUUUUCUAUUUAGAAAAAACUAAAUAUAUUGAUUUUUUCUAUUUAGUAAAAAGUUAAUAAUAAGUUAUGAAAAAAAUAGAAAAACAAACAAUCUAAAGUCUAAAAGCAAAUUGCUUUUUGUAAAAAGUUAAAAAACAAUGGUGUUUAUUUUUUUACUUCACUCUAAAUAGAACUUUAAUACUUAAUAGUAUUAAGUAUUAAAUUGUUUGUUUUUAUAAUAUUUUAUUUCUAUUAAGUAUUAAAAAGUAGAGAAAAAUUAACAUGUUGAUUUUAUAAUAUUUGGUUUUUUCUAUUCAAAAAAAAGUUUAUAAUAAAUUAUGAAAAAGUAAAAAAAAUAAACAACUUAAAGUUUGAAAGCAAAUUACUUUCAACAGAAAGGUAAAGAAACAAACACCAUAUAAAUCUUCCUCUAAACACAAUAAAGAGCAGGAAAUAGCUUAUAUCUUUUAUUCUCAUCAAUCGCUAUAGAGUCCAAAUAUACUAUUAAAGUAAAAGUGAUAUGACUUUCAUCUUUUUUCUUUCAUUGGUUCAUUUGGAGGCAUGAUGAAGUUCUUUUUCUUAAGAUAGCAAACAUUUUUGUACAACUUCAUUCAAAAAGAUACUUUAAUUAUCAUACUUACAAAACCCUGUAUGAUUCAUAAUUGGAAAUGCUUAAUUUUUGAAAGUUAUAAAAUAAAAACAAAUUUAAAAUUAUCAACAUAAAAUUCUGAAAAGGAAAUAUAUAAUCAAUUCACGUGGUUCUUAAUUUAAAAAUAAAAUAAAAUAAACAAAACCGAAAUUUUGGCAUCCUAUAUGAAUCUUGAGGGUGACCUUAAUGUUUCCUCUGUACAGAGAAGAGAGAAACCCAGCUGCUUCUUACGUUGGUUGGCAGGAAGUAACCAAUUGCUCAUAUAGUUCAAUUAUUUUGGAGCCUACCUGAAUCUUGAGGGUGAUUUCCUUUGUAUACAGUUCCAUAUCCUCCUUGGCCUAAUUUAUCUUUGAAUUGACUUGCAAUCCUUUUAACAUCAGCAUGGGAGUAUCUUGAGGGUUUCAGAUCUUCAUAGUCUUCUAGAAAAUUUUUAACCUUUACUCUAUUCUCUCUUUCUACUUUAUCUGAGCUAUAGACCCGAUAAAGCAUAACAAUCACUAACACGAGAAGAAAAAAACCAAAGAUUGCACCUGAGUACAUAAAAAGAAGAAAACUUAAACUUUUUUUUAUAUAAAUAAAUAGAUAAAAUAACCAAAUUAAAAAUCUUUAUCUCUAUAAUAAAAUAUGUAUGAAUAGAAUAUUACCUGUCACAAUUAUUUUCUUUGAUACACUUAUAAAAAGAAUAAGAAAAAAAAAAGUAAUUAGCUUGUUAUGCUCUUGGAAUUAAAAAAAAAAUGCUAAAUUACAUGUUCAUGUGAUAUGAUUUUAAUCUAAUUAAUUUUAUGCUAGGCCUCAACCUUAUCUUUUGGUUUCUUUCUCGUAUUCUAUGCUUUUACUUUUAAGGUAGUACCAAUUCUACUAAUAACUCUAUCCUAGCUUGUAGUGGAAAUUCAAACAUACCCUUCUAAUCCCUAUUAUGUAUCAUAGUUAGACUAUGUUUCAUAAUAACUUAUUGUCUCCAUGACUCCCUCAUACACAAAUUCAUCCUAUUUUAUGACAAAAACUAAAAUAAAAAUGAAACUCUAUGUAAAAGGAAUGUGGAGAAAUCUCUAUCCUUAUUCUAUAUCAUUACAUAUAGUGAUCCAAUUGGUAGGUAUGAUGACACUUGGUGAUUCGAUUGACCAUUAACAAUUUAGUAUUAAGUAUUAAAUUGUUUGUUUUUAUAAUAUUUUAUUUCUAUUAAGUAUUAAAAAGUAAAGAAAAAUUAACAUGUUGAUUUUAUAAUAUAUUGUUUUUUCUAUUCAACAAAAAGUUUAUAAUAAAUUAUGAAAAAGUAGAAAAAUAAACAACCUAAAGUCUGAAAGCAAAUUGCUUUCAACAAAAAGGUAAAGAAACAAACACCAUAUAAGUCUUCCUUUAAACACAAUAAAGAACAGAAAAUAACUUAUAUCUUUUAUUCUCAUCAAUCGCUAUAGAGUCCAAAUAUACUAUUAAAGUAAAAGUGAUACGACUUUCAUCUUUUUUCUUUCAUUGGUUCAUUUGGAGGCAUGAUGUAAGUUCUUUUUCUUAAGAUAAGAAACAUUUUUGUACAAGUUCAUUCAAAAAGAUACUUUAAUUAUCAUACUUAUAAAACCUUGUAUGAUUCAUAAUUGGAAAUGCUUAAUUUUUGAAAGUUAUAAAAUAAAAACAAAUUUAAAAUUAUCAACAUAAAAUUCUGAAAAAGGAAAUAUAUAAUCAAUUCACGUGGUUCUUAAUUUAAAAAUAAAAUCAAAUAAACAAAACCGAAAUUUUGGCAUCCUAUAUGAAUCUUGAGGGUGACCUUAACGUUUCCUCUGUACAGAGAAGAGAGAAACCCAACUGCUUCUUACGUCGGUUGGCAGGAAGUAACCAAUUGCUCAUAUAAUUCAAUUAUUUUGGAGCCUACCUGAAUCUUGAGGGUGAUUUCCUUUGUAUACAGUUCCAUAUCCUCUUUGGCUUAAUUUAUCUUUGAAUUGACUUGUAAUCCUUUUAACAUCAGCAUAGGAGUAUCUUGAGGGUUUCUGUCACGCCCCAAGACCCACUCCAAGGGCGUGAUGGUCAAUUUACACCUCAAACCCAAAGGCUUAAAGUGUAACCUGACCCAAACAAUCAUAUUGUAACUGGAAGCAACAAAUUACCAAAUACCUGUUCAGAGUAGCGGAAUAAAAUUCUAAAAUCUUCAAACUUAACUUUAAGACUAACCAUCCAUCAACCAAAAUCCAUUAUCUAAAUAGAUUGCAAACUCAAACAAAUCAAGUGCUAACAAAUCUUCAUAAUCUCCAAAUCUCAACUUCAAACUAUCAUAAAAUAAAAUAUUUAAAAGCUCAAUGUCUAAAUAGCUUCCAAAAGCCAAAUAAUCCAAAUGAACAUAAACUUAUAAGCUAACAAUGUUAAAAAAUAACAUCCGAAGAAAAAUCUUAAUGAUGACCAUUUCCCGACCCAGCCAUCACUCCUCGCCCGAACUAAGGAUACCUGAAAAAUUAUCAACAAAGGGAAUGAGCUCAAAGCCCAAUAAGGAAUAUUAAUGCAAUCCAUAGAUCAAAUAUUUCAAGUUCACUUACAAAAUAGGAGAUAUUAUAACUAAUUAUUUUCAUAAACCUUUGAGUCAGUUUUGUCAAUACAUUCAAAACUUUUAACUCCACACUUUCAUUUCUGAUUCAAACAUUUUCAUAUCAAAUCCAAUCAAAAUAUUCAAAUUAUUUAUUUACUCUAGUCAUCAGACAUCAGAUGGUGCCCAGUUAGGUGGGACUUUUCAAAUAGGUGGCUAGCCUCAAAUUGUUCCUUUAAGGUGGACGAAACCAAACACUACUAGUACUAGUAACCUCUAACCAAACCCUUAGAGGCUGGGGUCCAAAUCAAUUACAUUCCCCUCCAAGAAAUGUAAAGAUCAACUAUUAUAUCUCGUUGACAAGGGCCAAAAAUUCAAAAGUUAACUAUUAUAUCCCGUUGACAAGGGCCAAACAAACCAGAGUCAAACACUUAUUUCAAUUAUUCAAAUUUGUAAAACAUAAUAUCUCCACAUUUCUCUGUUAUAAACAAAAUGUAAGGUUCUAACAUACUUUUCAUGCAAAACAUAUUUGAUUCAUGCAUAAAACGAAUAAUAACUCAAAAUAUUUCCAAAUGAUGUAUAUAAAAAUUUGUUUCUAAAAAAAAAUAAUAACUACAUUAAUUUCUCUUACUUCAAAAGACGUCCUUGAAAGCUCGGGAGAAAAAUAAUUCUGGAAAAAAAAAAUCUACUCUUCACCUAAUAUAACAUAAGAGAAAUAAUUAUUACUAUUUAUCUAUAAUUUAAAUAAUCUAUUUCUUAUUUAAAUAAAAUUAAUAAAUUCCCAAUUUGUUUCUAAUAACACAUUACUAAUUUAAUUAAAUUGCAAUUUUAUUUCAUUUUAAAAUUAUAUAUAUAUAUAUAUAUAUUGCUAAAUCUCUCAUUCUAUUUAUUACAAAAAAAAAAACCAUUAUUACUAUUAUCUUAUUUGUUAAUCUAAAACUAAAUAUUAUUAUUUUAUUAAUUAUCCAAUUCAAUAAUCACCCAAACCAUUACCCAUUUGUCUCGGGUACACACCAAACCAAUAAAACAAAGCAAGUUUUUUUUUUCCAUUGCCAUCAUCAUUAUUAUGAUGAUUCAUUAUAUUUAUAUAUAUGUUCCAAAGUCUUCCUUCCAUCCAAUGCACACGCUUUUUUUUUUUUCCUUUUUUCCAGUAUUGUGCACACGCGUUUGUUUUUUUUUUACAUUUUCUAAUCCCUUCAACUAUUUACUCUAAUUUUUUUUUUAAUAAAAUUAACCCUAGCCUAAAAUCGAAACCUUCCAAGGAACCUUUUUUUUCAUCUAAAAAAAAACUUAAUAUCUCCCAAAUUCCAACAAUAAAUCAAAAUCUUAAAUUUUUACUAUUUUGAUAUUAAAACGAAUUAAAAAAAAAAAAAAAAACUAACCCUAAUCUAGAUUUGGGUUUUUCAAAAGAUAUCUAAUGUAUUUGAAAUUAACCAAUGAAUCUAAAAUAUUAAACUAAGGGUUAGAAUCUUACCUAUAGAGAUCUGUUCUUCAACCCUGAAAUCUGACUCCAACCUUACGUUCUCUGGAAUUCUGCAAACAGGAACUCUAUUCAGAAAAGAACAGGAAGAAUAGAAUUUCUAAUUUAUACCUUGGGUAUUUAUUCAUAAAAAUAUAUUUUUACCCCUCUUCCCUUUUAUUAAAUUAAUUAAUUAAUUAAUUUAAUUAUUAUUAAUAAUUUCCUAAAUUACCCUUAAAAAAACUUGGGUGUUACAUCCUCCCCUCCUUAACAAAAGUUUAGUCCUCUAAACUAGACAUACUUGAGUCUUGAAAUAAUUGAGGAUGUUUUUCUCUCAUCUCUUCUUCUAACUCCCAAGUGGCCUCUUGGAUACUAUGAUUUCUCCACUAGACCUUUACCAACUUGACAACAACAUGUCGUAGUACAUUAUCCAUCACAUCCACAAUUUGAACGGGUACCUCUUCAUAGGUCAAGUCCUUAGAAAUUUGAAUAGGCUCCAACUCCACAACAUGAGAGGGAUCAUAAAUAUACUUCCUCAAAGUCGAAACAUAGAAUACAUUAUGAAUCUUAGAUAGACUUGGGGGCAAGGCCGCUUUAUAAGCCAAAGUGCCUACUCUUUCUAAUACCUCAAAUGGUCCCACAAAGCGAGGACUGAGUUUCCCUUUUCUUCCAAAUCUCAUUAUAGACUUCAUAGGUGAAACUUUCAAGAAAACAUGAUCACCCACCUCAAACUCCAAAUCUUGCCUGCGAUUAUCAGCAUAAUUCUUCUGUCUACUUUGUGCUGCUUUUAAUCUUUCCUUAAUUAAAGAGACCUUUUCAAUAGUCAACUACACAAGUUCAAGCCCCAAAAGCUUCUUCUCUCCAACAUCAUCCUAACAAACAAGAGAUCGACAUCUCCUACCAUACAAUGCCUCAAAAGGUGUCAUCCCAAUGAUAGCUUGAAAGCUAUUAUUAUAGGCAAACUCCACUAAGGGCAAAUAAUCAUCCCAAUUACCUUUCAAGUCCAAAGCACAAGCUCUCAAUAAAUCUUCCAAGACCUGAAUUACCCUCUCUGAUUGACCAUCAGUCUGUGGAUGAAAAGCAGUACUAAAACUCAACUUAGUACCUAAUGUUUUCUGUAAACUAUGCCAAAAUCUAGAAGUGAAAUGAGGAUCUCUAUCAGAUACUAUAGAAACAGGUACACCAUGCAUUCUCACAAUCUCCUUAAUAUAAAGAGAAGCCAAACGAUCCAUGGAAAAAUUGACUUUCAUAGGUAGAAAAUGAGCAGACUUUUUCAAUCGAUCAACAAUCACCCAAAUCGCAUUAUUGCCCCCUAAGGUCUUUGGUAACCCUGUCACAAAAUCCAUAGUAAUAUGUUCCCAUUUCCACUCGGGAAUAGAAAGUGGUUGCAAAAACCCUACUGGUCGUUGAUACUCAGCUUUCACUUGUUGACAAACCAAACACUGAGCCACAAAUUGCGCAAUAUCUCGCUUCAUACCUGACCACCAAUAAUUUUGUCUCAAAUCUUUGUACAUCUUUGUCCCUCCUAGGUGGAUUGCAAGCCUAGAACAAUGAGCUUCCUCCAAAAGCUCCCUCCUUAAGUCUCCAUCAUUUGGGACACAAAUUAAGUCUAGUCAUAAACCUCAAAAUCCCAUCAUCUGAUAAAACAAAGUCAGGCUUACUGCCCUUUUUAACCUCUUCCAUAAGUUGCACUAAAUUCAAAUCAUUCUUUUGUAGGGCCUUAAUUCUCCCAACUAAGUCUGGUUGUACUCUAAAGUUCGCCACAAGAGCUUUUGAGUCCAAAACUCUCAUAUGGACUUGUAAACUCCUCAAAUCUUCCAAUAAUUGCCUUUGACAACCUUUAAUAGCUGCUAAGGAACCAACAGAUUUCCUACUCAAGGCGUCAGCCACAACAUUCGCCUUCCCUGGGUGAUACUGAAUAAUGCAGCCAUAAUCUUUAAGCAACUCAAUCCACCUCCACUGUCUCAUGUUCAAUUCCUUUUGAGAAAAUAAAUACUUCAAACUCUUAUGAUAUGUGAAUAUCUCACGAGUUUCACCAAAAAGAAAAUGUCUCCAGAUCUUAAGUGCAAAAACCACUGCAGCUAACUCCAAAUCGUGAGUAAGAUAAUUUCGUUCAUAAGGCUUCAACUGUCUGGAGGCAUAACCUACAACUUUCCCAUGUUACAUAAGAACACAACCCAAACCUUGACAAGAGGCAUCUUUAUACACCACAAACCCUCCUGAGCUUGAAGAGAUAGUCAAAAUAGGAGCUGUCACUAAUCUGUUCUUUAACUCUUGGAAACUACUUUCACAAUCAUUAGACCACUCAAACUUAACCCAUUUAUGAGUCAACCUGGUCAAAGGUAGGGCGAUCUUAGAGAACCCCUCAAUAAACCGCCUAUAAUAACCAGCUAGUCCUAAGAAACUUCGAAUUUCUGUCACAAUAUUAGGUCUCCUCCAAUUUGAUACGGCAUCUACCUUUCCAGGGUCAACAGAGAUGCCAUCCUUGGUCACCACAUGCCCAAGGAAAGAGACUUUAUCUAACCAGAACUCACACUUCUUUAGUUUAGCAUACAAUUGCUUAUCUCUGAGAGUCUGCAAUAUAAUACCCAAAUGACGCUCAUGCUCCUCCCUAGUCUUUGAGUACACCAAAAUAUCAUCUAUAAAAACCACGACAAACUGAUCUAGAUAGGGCUUGAAUACCCUAUUCAUUAAGUCCAUAAAAGCAACAGGUGCAUUAGUCAAACCAAAAGGCAUAACCAAAAACUCAUAAUGCCCGUAUCUAGUUCGAAAAGCAGUCUUGGGUACAUCUUCACUUCUAACCCUUAACUGAUGAUAACCAGACCGAAGAUCAAUCUUAGAGAACACACAUGCACCCUGAAGUUGAUCAAACAAAUCAUCAAUCCGAUGAGGGGGAUACUUGUUCCUCACCGUCACCUUAUUCAACUCUCUAUAAUCAAUGCAGAGUCUCAUAGAUCCAUCCUUCUUUUUUACAAAUAAAACAGGAGCUCCCCAAUGUGAAACACUAGGCUUAAUGAAGCCCUUAUCUAACAACUCCUGAAGUUGAAUCUUCAACUCCUUAAGCUCCAAAGGUGUCAUCUUGUAAGGGGCCUUAGAGAUAGGAGUUGUCCCUGGUGCCACAUCAAUGGUGAACUCCACCUCCCUCUCUGGUGGCAAGCCAGGUAGACCCUCUGGAAAAACAUCAGGAUAGUCCCUUACAAUGGGUAUGUCUUCCAACUUUAAAUCAUUUUCCUCAUUCACAAUAAGCUAAAAAGUCUUGACAACCUUUCCUAAGAAAAGAACUAGCUCGCAAGGCUAAGAUCAUACGCAAUGGUUUGUCCACAUGUUUCCCCUCAAAACUAAAAUCAGGCUGACUAGGAAUACUAAACGUCACUCUUUUCCCAAAACAAUCAACAUAUGCAUGGUAUGAAGCUAACCAAUCCAUCCCCAAAAUCACAUCAAAAUCUUGGAGGUCAAGAAGUACUAAGUCAACUGUCAUCUCUCUAUACCCAAUCAUCACACAAUAGUCUCUAAGUAUUUUAUUAACCACAACAAAAUCUCCCAAAGGAGUAGCAACAAAUAAAUCAAAGUCCAUGUUAUUAAUCGACAUACCUAACAAACCAACAAAAGAUGCGGAAACAAAAGAGUGCAUUGAACCAGGAUCAAUUAAGGCUCUAGCAAAUAAGGUGUGAAUUCGAAGAGUACCUAUCACUACAUCAGAAGUAGCCUGAGCAUCUCUAUAAGUCAUAGCAAAUACUUGCCCUUGAGCCCUGGGCUUCUGUCUAUCCUCUUUAUUCUCCUCUUUAGGCUUCCCAAAUACAAACUUCUUACACUCUGGACAAUCCCGAACCAUAUGUCCUUGCUUUCCACAACCAAAGCAAGCUCCUGUCUCUCUAUAGCAUGGCCUACCCCCAUGCUUCUUGCCACAAGUAGGACAAAUCCCAUCUAAAUUUUGUGCUACUUUUCCUUUAUUCUGAUUUCUACUUGGAGCAAACCUUUUUUGUGCUUGGUUACCAUGAGCACCAUCAUUUCUAUUCCUCUUCCUUUGUUGUUCCCUAUACUGGUGAAGCUCUUCAUUAUCCUUCUUUGUAAUAAGGGCUCUGUCUACCACCUCUGAAUAACCACUAAGCUUCAGAAUUGAUAUCUUGUUCUUCAGAUAAGGCUUCAGUCCAUCCUGAAACUUUAUUGUUUUUUCCUCCUCUAUAGCAAUCAACUAUAGGGCAAAACAUGAUAGUUCGAUAAACUUAGCCUCAUACUGGGCCACAAUCAAAUUCCCCUAUUCCAAACGGACAAACUCUCCCACCUUUUGUCGUCGAACACUGCUAGGAAAGUACUUCUUAUAAAAAGCCUCCCUAAACUGACUCCAAACAAUAGGCUUCUGAUCCUUCAAAAGCCUUUUAGUCAUGCGCCACCAAUGGUUUACCUCUUUGUCUAACAAAAAUGUUGCAUAAGAGGUUUUUUGCUCCUCAGAACAAUCAAUGACAUCAAAGAAUUUCUAAAUUUUCGUAAUCCAAGCCUUUGCCUCUGUUGGAUCUGAAGUACCAGAAAAGUAAGGGGGACCCAACUUCUUAAAGUCGUCAAAUGAGCUACCCCUAGUAGAUGAGGAUUGUCCUUAACCAUUACUUCCAAUAGCUCUAGCCAGAUGCUCAACCAAACCAGCCAAAGUCCCUAAGUAUCUAUAAAGCCCUUCAGUACUCAUAGGGGGCAACGCCUCAGAUGGAGGAGGUAUAUCAUCAUUAGCCUGACUAUUUUGGGAAGAUGUAGGUCUCCUUGGUGACAUGGUGUCCUAUAAAGCAACAGGUAUAACUAAAUUAGUCACUAAGAACCCAAAUAAACAAAUCAAAAUUGUAAAGAAUAAAAGGAAUCAGACUAGAUGAAGUUGAAACUCAAACUAAUAUGUCACUCAUCUAUUCCCAAAGGUAAACUAAACAAGCUCCCAUCAAGAUCACAACCUAGUGCUCUAAUACCACUUUGUCACACCCCAAGACCCACUCCAAGGGCGUGACGGUCAAUUUAGACCUCAAACCCAAAGGCUUAAAGUGUAACCUGACCCAAACAAUCAUAUUGUAACUUGAAGUAACCAAUUACCAAAUACCUAUUUAGAGUAGCAGAACAAAAUUCUAAAAUCUUCAAACUUAACUUUAAGACUCAGCAUCCAUCAAC